GCUUUGCGGGUCGAUGAUGCCAGCAGCAAUGAGACUGCAAUUAUCACUUGUUUAGUUUCUGUGCUUGCCGUGGUUUACUUCGCAUGGAAUGUGAAAAAAUCAAGGAAAGCAAAUGCUACACUGCCACCAGGACCUCGCGGCUUGCCUGUAUUCGGAUACCUCCCAUUUCUUGGAACUACUGACUUGCACAAGAAAUUCACGGAAUUAUCCGGAGUUUAUGGUCCGAUCUUCAAGCUUUGGCUUGGAAAUAAAUUAUGUGUAGUGGUGAGCUCACCUUCCCUAAUUAGACAAGUGGUUCGUGAUCAAGAUACAACAUUCGCGAACCGUGACCCACCGAAGGCUGCACUAGUGGUCUCCUAUGGUGGCAAUGAUAUUGCAUGGUCCAAUUACGGUCCCGAAUGGAGAAAGUUGCGCAAAUUUUUUGUGGGCAAGAUGAUGAAUAACGAAAGCCUUGAUGCUUGUUAUGCUCUAAGAAAACAAGAGGUUAAAAAUACUAUCAGGGAUUUGUAUAACAACGACAACAAAAUUGGCAAGCCCAUUGACAUUGGUGAAUUGUCGUUUUCAACAUUGGUAUGUGCUAUACAGAACAUGCUGUGGGGUGAAGCGCUUGAAUUAAAAGAGAAAGGGACCACUAAUCUUAGGGCUGGGCUAAAAUUUAAGCUGGCAGAACUCAUGGUGCUUGCGGGAACACCGAAUAUUUCGGAUGUCUUUCCAAUGCUUUCAUGGCUCGACAUACAAGGUAUAGAGAGGAGAGCAAAGAAGAUUUCACUCUGGCUUGAUAAUGUUAUAAAUUCUACUGUUGAACAGCAUAGAAACAAGGAGUUAACUGUUGAAGGUGAAGAAAGAGCGGGGAAAAAUUUUGAAGGAUCAAGGAACAAGAACUUCUUGCAGUUACUAUUGGAGCUUCAAGAAAAUGAUGACAGUGCUUCCUCAAUUAGCAUGAACCAAUUCAAGGCCGUACUCGCGGUAUGUUAAGCAACUAGCCACGAACAGUUAUACAAGCACAGUUGUAUAUUUGCAUGAGUGAUAUUUUCAACCUUUUUUUUUUAAUUAGAAUUUUAUUGUCACCUUUUGGACAGGAUAUAAUUACGUCUGGAACCGACACCACAACUACGAUGGUGGAAUGGACAAUGGCAGAGUUGAUGCAGCAUCCACAAGUAAUGAAGAAAGUUCAGGAAGAAUUAGCUCAAGUUGUGGGCAUGGACAGUUGUGUUGAAGAAUUUCACCUGUCUAGAUUAAUGUAUUUAGAUGCUGUGGUGAAGGAAACAUUUCGUCUGCAUCCUGCAGUGCCUUUAUUACUACCACGUAGGGCAAGCGAGAGUAGCAACAUCGGUGGCUAUAACAUUCCCAAAGAUACAACUAUUAUGUUGAAUGUUCGGGCAAUCCACAGGGACCCUAAACUUUGGGAUAAUCCCUUACAAUUUCGACCCGAGAGGUUUCUAGAUGACGGUAUCGCGAGUAAGUUCGAUUACUCAGGUAACAAUUUUCAGUACUUGCCAUUUGGUUCUGGUAGAAGAAUGUGUGCUGGGAUUGCUCUAGCUGAGAGGAUGCUGAUGUUUGUUCUGGCUUCCUUAUUGCACUCAUUCGAGUGGGAAUUGCCAACUGGCACAAAGCUAAACUUAUCAGAAAAAUUUGGGAUUGUCAUUAAGAAAAAAGAGCCAUUGGUUGCUAUUCCAACACCAAGACUAUCCAAUUCAGAGCUCUACCAUUAAGACAAUGGUUGUGAUGAUUUUGUUAAUUUCCGAAGAUUUGUAUGUUAUUUUAAGUUCAAUCGUAAUAAAAUAUUUCAAAUAAGAGUCCUCCGUUGCUUUUUUUUUUUUUUCAACGGCAUAAUCUGUCGUCAUGCUUGUAUUUGGAGCUACUUUGUAAUAAUUAUGUUUGAAUUACAAUUUAUAAAUAUUACAUUUUAAAAUUUUAUGAGAGUCUAAAUUUAUACACGUUCAAUAACCCGCUUCAUACAUAUUUAACACAAUUUAUAUCAUACAUUGUACACCCAUUUGUCAUAAAUUACACUAUUUUGUAUCUCUAAAUAAUAUUACGUAUUGAUAUUAUAAUAUAUAUAUAUAUAUAUAUAUAUAUAUAUAUAUAUAUGUUUAUCAAAAGACGAUACCAUUCAAUAUAUAUUGAAAAGUGAACAAAGAAAAUUUUCUUAUGGUUUAAAAAUAUUAUGAAUUCUGCUGUUGAACAGUAUGGAAACAAGGUCUCUGUUGUUAAAGGUGAAGAAGCAACAGGGAACAAUAUUGAAGGAAGAAAUUUCACAUGUUUAGUUGCUGAAUUUGCCGCUGUAUUCUAUCGGUAGCAAAAAGAUUAGAGUUUUUAUUUUUCUCUAUUAAUGUUAAGUCAAUUUUCUAUAACAAAUUCGGUUGAGUUUAAUUGUGUUACAAUAUAAAUUGAAUGAUAAUAGAAUUUUCAACGAAUAUUUCAAUAUAUUUGUUAUGCGAUGGAUUUUAAAAUUUAUAAAAUUAUUUGUUACUAAAUUGCAUCAUAUGCUAAAAUCACCUGAAACCUAAUUCCAUAACUAACCCUUUAUUUUUAGUUCUCAAGAAAUCUUGUAAGAACAAAAUUCUUUUAUAACAAAACUUUUACAACAAAUUAAUUUGUAACUCAUUCCUGUGCGAGAAUCGCUCUCAAUUUCCUUCAAUUGCUGUUGAACAAUCAUCUGCUUAUCAAAAUUCAAGCAUAAUCUUUUUUUUUUUUUAAUUUCUUCAUCAUUCUUUUGAAAAAAAAAUCAGGAUAUGCUGUUAAAUUUUGAAAUAAAUUAUCUCAAAAUAAUUACUAAGCAGAAAAAACAAAGGGGUUUAACUAGGCUAUGCACCUUUGAAAAUUAUAUGUUGAUCGAUAAGAAUGAUGAUCACGAUUGAGGAGUUUAAUUAAAAUAUAUAAGAUUUUAAAAUUAAUCAAGGUUAAAUUGUGAAUUUUAGAAAGAGAGGUUUUGUGAGAAUGCUGAAAGGGUCUUAAUAGUUCCACUCUUUUUAAAAGCAACCAUAGUCAUCAUUUUUCCCGAUUUCUUCUUCCCAUCUCCAUCUUACUUAGAAAUUUCCCAGAGCCUUUGUUUCCCACCUUUCAUUUUUCUUCUUUCUAAUUUAAUAUUAUAGUAUUAUAAAAAUAAUUACUCACAUUUUAUCAAACACCUCCAUUCUACCAAGGCCUUGUUUUAGUAGUAGGCUUUUAUUAUCUCAAUAAAAUUGAAAAAACAAAUCUCAAUAAUAUUGGAAAAAAAAAACCUACCCAUAUUUGUAACUUUAAUUUAUUAUUCUGCAUAGACCUACUUUUUAGCUUUGAAUUUUGUUGGAGCCAUGUAUAAACAGAAUAUGUUGAAAUCAGCACCAAAAAAAAAAAACUAAUUAUAUAAUUUCUGUUCCCAAGGACAUGACUGAGUGAUUCUCAAGAAGUUUUGUUUGGCUGGCUACUUAGGUUUAAAUCUUGGUGGAGAUUAGGGGUUAAGAAAUAAAUUUGGACUUUGCACACCCCUUUAACUUUUAAAAAGAAAUGAAAAAAACUAAUUAAUAAUCUUUAUUUUAUUUAUUAAAUGUCAUAAUCCUAUGCGUAUUUUAUUUGUUAUCUUUCUAUUUAAAAGACAGGAGGGCAGAUAAAACUGAAAUAAAUUUUUAGCCCUAUCUCCAUCUUUCAAAUUUCAUAGUUAGGUGACCAGCUAAAGAAAAUUAAUUGAAAACUACUCCAUCAAAUUAAAAAUUUUUAUUUAUUUAAUUUGUGGAGAUGUAGAAAAUCAAACCCCAUGCCUUUUCGCAUGCAAAAGUGUCAACCUGAUCUAGCUAUGUUGCAACAGUGAACAUAUUUCAAUACAUGACUAUCAUCCUUUAUCGUAAAUACUACUAUAACUAAUAACAUACAAUUGAAAUAAUUAGUGUUAACACUUGGCUAUAAAAAAAAGGUUUUGUGCUUGAAUCUUCACGCAUGACCUUCAUUCCCUUAUUGACUUUGCUAACACAGAUUUUGAGGCAUUAAAACUAAAUAAUAAUUGACUUUGUGGGCCGAGGAUGCCAGCAACAAGGAGACCACAAUUAUCACUUGUUAAGUUACUCUAAUUGCGGUUGUCUUAUAUUCAUAGAAUAUUAGUAAUAAGAUUAUUGUAGAAUUUUUUUAUAUUAAAAUCAAGUCAAUUUGUUAUAACAAAUUUAGUUGAAUUUAAUCGUAUUACCACAUAAAUUGAAUAAUAAUAGAAUUCUCGACAAUAUUUCAAUAUUUUAAUCUCAAGCAUUGGAGUGGCAUUUAUUUGUUAUACGGUCGAUUUUAGAAAUUUUCAAAUUAUUCGUUACUGAAUUGCACCAUAUGCUGCAUCACCUGGAACUUACUAAACGGAACGUAGCGUUGGCACCGUUACUCAACAUUCACUGUUACGACUUUGUGACAUUAGAAUUAAAAUCUUUUCCACAUUUAAUUUAUUUACUUCCAAAUUAAUAUUUAACAAAAUAUUUUUUCACAUUAUCAAUGGACAAAACUCCAACGAAAAUAACUAUUCAAGAAAAAUGUAUGCUAGCAUUAUAUGCCAUAUCAUCUGUAAUUUUGUCAGGAUCGAUCAUUCUAAUUUCUAAGCAGAACUUUUUAUCAAUGGACAAACACCUCACACAGCUUGUCAGAGGCAUUAUUAUGAUGGAAAACUGCAAUGGUAUAUCUUGAAUUAUUGGUAGAAUAGUUCUUUGGAGCAAUAAAAACAGAUAAGACAGAUGAGAAAAUUGUCAAUACCCCACCGCAAAAGCAAAAGAAAAAAAGGAAAGGAGACAAAAGAGGAAGAAGAAAAAGAAAAAAGAACGAAGAAAAAAAUGGUGCCACGCGGUAUAGGGAAGAAGAAAAAAAAUUAAUAAAAUAAUAGUGCAUAGCAGUCAUGUGAUUGCUAUAAAUAAAGGGGCGUUUCCCUCAUUUUAUUCUUCGAAUUCUUCAGUGCCUUUUAAGCGAUUUAAGAGUCUAGUGAUUUGAGAGUUUGAGUGUAUUAUGAUUUUAAAUAGGGAGAUAAAAUACUAUAAUACUUGUAACUCAUUUUUAUUAGUAAAAUAUUUUCCUUCUAUUUUCGCCCGUGGGCGUAGGCUAAAAGCUAAACCACAUAAUUUCUGGUGUCUCUAUGUAAUUAUGUGUCUCAUUAUUUCUUAAUUUUACUUUAGUUGCGUGUCUGCUACACCCUUCAAUUUACUAACAAAAAUCGCCAAAAUUAUAUAAGCGGCCCAAAUUUUUUGCUAUUUUCAAGAAAUCCCCAAUCUGAAUGGACCAGACCAAAGGGAGGCAAGUUAGAAAUACGUUUCCUUCAGACAAUAACAGCUAUGAGUCGAUGACAUCAAGCCACGUCGAUAUCAAUAUUGAAUUAAAGGUGUAAUUAUUCAGCAAAUGAGCCUUACACAUCAAGAUAAAAGUCAAGAAAAUGAAAAUUUAUCCCAAUUAAAACACUUUCUUGCUGCAUUUAGUUGUUUCCAUUUGAAGUUAAAAACAACGUUUCGUUCGUUUUGUGGGCAACUCGACUGAGUUAGCUGGCUUCUAGUGCUAGUAUGUGAAAAUAGAAGGCUAAUGAUUUAUUUGUUAUCUUUUGAUAAAAUUAUUAAAGAUAUAAUAUAUUUUCCAUGAUAUAAGUGAAAAAUCACAUCAACAUAGUUUCCAAGCUACAGCAGCUAGUGUUUACCAAACACUUUGCUGUAUCUUUUAAGCUACAACUGCCCAACCUCAAUCACAAACGCACCCUUAAUAGGUUGAUUGAAUUUGUGGGAUAUAGAUUCCACAUAUCUCAUGACCUAGUAAUUAUACAAGUGGUUCGUGAUCAAGAACAACAUUUACUUCCGGCCUAGUGACCUAGCAACUGCUGCAUUGGUCGCCACCUAUGGUGUCGACGAUAUUGCAUGGUCCAAUUGUGGCCUUGAAUGAAAAAAGUUGAGCAAAUUAUUUGUGGGCACGAUGAUAAGUAACGCAAGCCUUGAUUCUAGUUAUGGUCGAAGAAAACAAGAGGUUAAGAAUACUAUCAGAGAUAUUCAUAACAACAAAAAGGAAAAAAAAAAAAAGGCAUUGGCAAGUCCAUUGAUAUUGGUGAAUUGUCGAUUUCAACUUUGGCUUGUGUAAUUUAGAACCUGCGCAUUGUGGUAUGGCACUGGCAUGCUUGCAUUGACUUGGGGACAAAUCUUGGGGCUGAGCUAAAUUUAGGGUUGUAGAACUCAUGGUGCUAAUGGGAACACCAAAUAUUUUUUGACAUAUUUCGGUGCUUUCAUGGUUUAAUUCAAGGUAUAAAAAGGAGUGUUGAGAAUGUCAAAUAAAACGACAUUGAAUGGAAGUUUUCAAAGACAUGAUCCGCACUGAACGGUAACGACAUGGUUGGUGAAGAUUUUUCCGUAAUACGAGUAUCUAAAUUUUGAAAAAUUAUAACCUCUGCAUCUAUAAAUAUGCUCAAUGUAUAAUGUUUUACUUAAGAAAUGAAAAACUUGUUUCUUCAUGGUAUCAGAGCGAGGUUCACUGCCCUUUAGGCUUGGCAAAACCCCAGGUCCGGUCUGGGUUUAGUGCAAAUCGGGACCGGAUCGGCUGCCAAAAAUUGAAACCCGGGCUCGAAAAAAACCCAGCUUUUGCAUGUCCGGUCCGGGCUUGAGCCCGGCGUGUCCUGGGUCCGGAUUUUGUCUUCCAAGCUUCUAAGCCCGCAAACAAUUAUUUCAAAAAAAAUUAAAAAAGGCUCAAAACAGGCUCACAGCAGCAAGUCAGCAAUAUAAAAUUAAAAAAGGGAAAAGGAUUUGGCCGAAAAAACAGAGCAACAGUAAUCACAAAUUCACAAGCUCACAGCAAGUCAGCAACCAUGCACAAAAUUGGUCGAAGAUAAACACAAAUAGCAACAGCCAACAGAGAAGCAAUCGACAAAAAUGCAACUGGGAAGACAAAAUUUAUUAUUUCGCUAAUAGACCUAUAAUGUUCUAAUGUCUUUUCAUUUUAUUUAAAAUACCAAGAAAAGAAAAGGUGAAAUCCAUAUAUGUUGUUAGGCCAAUUACCUAAGGUGUCUGCUCAAGAUUCAAGAAACACAAUGACCAGGUAAUUAAACAAGGAGCAAAGUCACUUGCUAUAUAAAUAAAUAAAUAAAUAUAUGGAGAGAGGGCUAAAACUGAUGAGGCUGAGAAGGAGAGCUCGAAACAGAAGGCAAAAGAGUUGGAUGAGGAGGUUGCUCGUCGUGAUAUGUAAUGAUCGACGAAAAAGACAAAAUGAUUGCAGAUAAGGGAAAAAUGGUUGAUUAGUUGAAGAAGGAAAGACAAGUUAAGCAUGAUGAAAAUAUUUUACUGGAGCAACAGCCGCAACCAAGCAAAAUCGAGUCAGCAAAUGCCAAACCAGAAGAGAUGAUGCCCACUGUCGAGUACCGAGGGGCGACGGUGACGAACUGACGGUGGGUAGCCGGUGGCAGCGUUGCUGCUUAUGUCUUUGGGUUUGGGUAACUGGGGUCUGGGGAAUUCGAAUUAGGGAUUUGGGUGUUUUGCGAUUUGGGUUUGGGUAACUGGUUUUACAUUUUUUUUUUAAGUUUAUUCGGAAAACGGGUUCGGAUUCUGGGUUUUUGGUGCUGAACCCAGAUCGUGCCCGGAAAUGUCCGGGUUUUAAAUUCUGAAACCCGGAUCCGCUUUUGCAGUAUAUGCGGUCUGGGUUUUGUUCGGACCGGAUUGGCCGGGUCUGGGCCGGAUCCGGUCCGGGCGGGUUUUUUUGACACCCCUAACUGCCCUGUUUGUAACAAAAGCAAAGAAAACUAAAUUCCUCCCACAACCAUUUUUCCACUAUUUUUUCUUCCUUAAAAGCAUUUCUAGCAUUACAGAAACCCAUGCCAAUAAAAGAACAAGCCACACAUACGUAAAAACUUAAGUUUACAAAUCUAUCAAUAGUCCCAUAAAUUUUCCCAAGAAGUGUCUUCAAAAACCAAAAAUAUCAUCAAUUUUCUCAGCUUCCAAUAAACAAACUAUAAAAGUUUCGCACUCAAACACAGCCACACGCGCGCCUCCACGCGCUUCCCGGAAUCACGGCCAACCACCACGCGCCUCCGUCACCACUAACUCACCCUCACGCGCUCCAGAGGUUGCAGAAGACGCAAAACAACGUGUCGUUUUCGUCUCUAGAAGUGCAGCAGCUUGGAAAAUGACUCGUCGUUUUUAUUUCGUUAGAAACGACAUGUCGUUUUCUUAAGCAGAAACAAAACAACUUGUUAUUUUUGCCUUAAAUUUUUUUUCCUCAUUUGAAGCUAUACAACAUUUUUCUUUCUAAACUUGUUUUUUGCAAUAAAAAAAGAAAAAAAAUGGAGAAAACUCCAACUGAAUCUACUCAUGUUGUCAUUCAAUCUGUUCAACCUGAUGGGGUAUUUAAUGCCAGAAUUAUCCUUACUAAGACAAACUACAAUAUUUGUUCUCAAAUUAUGGAGAUGCAUCUCACAGAAAGAAAACAAAACUCUCAUAUAUUCAUAGCAGCACAAAGCCAUCUGACAAAUUUUCAAAGGAAUAUGAGAAAUGGUAUAGUGAGAACCAAAAUGUAAAAAGAUGGUUACUUAUAUCCAUGUGUCCUGAGAUCAUGAAGCGAUAGUUCUGAAUUCCUACAGUUUACAAAAUUUGGAAUGCAUUAUCAAAAGUCUUCUAUGAUGGAAGCGAUGAAAUACAAGUUUUCACUCUAAACCAGAAGGCGUUCUCUACGAAGCAAAAUGGACAACCACUCUCUAAAUUCUACGGAUAAUUGAUCGAAGUAUUUGAAGAACUUAAUCAUCGAGAUAAAGUGGUCAUGAAGGAUCCAGAAGAUGUUAUAAUAUACAGAAAGUCUAUUGAAAGAUUGAGAGUGCACAUUUUUCUUGUUGGGCUAGAUGAAGAAUUUGACCAAGUUUGUGGAGAAAUUCUACGAAAAGAUACUAUCCCAGACUUAGAAAAAUGUUAUUCUAUAAUCCGAAAAGAAGAUGUACGGCAAAGCAAACUAAACAAGAAGGUGGACGACUCAGAAACGUCUGCUAUGAUAGCACGAGAGAACAAUGUUUUGAAAUUGUUGGAUAUCCUGACUGGUGGCAUACUCGAAAGAAUAACACAAAGCAGGGAUCAAAAACUGCAGUAGCGGAAUCCACAUCCACUACAGAUCUUAGAAAAGAAUCUUCAGCGCAAAUUGCAACCUCUGUCAAUUCAGGUAAGGUCCUUAAAACUCUUACAUCUGUUAUUAAUAUUAUAUGAAUAAUUGAUUAUGGUGCAACUGAUCAUAUGACUUUUGAUUCUCGAUAAGUUUCUCAAUUGAAACCAUCUUCACAAAAACAUGUUUCCACUGUAAAUAGAACCACAACCUCAGUUAUUGGGGAAUGAUCUUUACAACUCACAGUUAAAUUAAAUUUAGACUAUGUGUUAAUUGUUCAAUCUUUAAAUUAUAAUCUUUUAUAUGUGUCUCAAAUAACCACUUACUUAUCACGUGUUGUAAUGUUUUGGUCCGAUCAUUGCGUGUUUAAGGACAUCCAAACGAAGCAAACGAUUGGUUAUGGUAUCAAACGAGGCAACUUGUAUUACCUGGAGAUGACAUCAAUAAACACUGAAAAGUUAAGCCCCGCAUUAGUAGCAGACAGUUCCAUGAAGAAAAAGGAAAUAAGAAAUUUGGUUAUGGCAUAGACGUUAGGGCAUGUGUCAUUUGGUUACUUAAAAAAAUUGUUUCCUAAUUUGUUUAUGAAAUUUGAUGUUUGUAACUUUAAAUGUGAUGUUUGUGAACUUUCAAAUAGCCAUCGAACUACUUUUCAAUUGUCCUUAAAUAAGAAUCCAGUUCCUUUCAUGGUAGUACAUUCUGAUGUAUGGGGACCAUCUAAAGUUUCUACCAUUGGACGAGCUCGUUGGUUUGUUACAUUUAUUGAUGAUUGUAGCAGAUUGACAUGGAUUUUUUUGAUGAAAUCAAAAGAUGAAGUAAACUCUUAAUUUAUUUCAAAGAUUUCAUAUGAUGGCAACGACUCUAUUUCAGACACAAAUUUGAGUUCUACAUACUGAUAAUGGAGGCAAUUAUAUGAGCACAACAAUUCAACAGUUUUUGAAAUCAAAAUGACUUGACCACCAAAUCACUUGUGUAGGGACACUCCAACAAAAUGGCAUUGCUAAGCGGAAAAACAGACAUUUACUAGAAGUUGUUCAAGCAUCACUAAUCUAGGCCCGCAUGCCAGUAUUUUAUUGGGGAGGAGCACUGGCAUCCGCAACAUACUUGAUCAAUCGAACACCUUCAAUCUCCCUUGGAUUCCAAACUCCUUUUCUGGUUCUAAAUGAAGAAUUAUGUCAUCAAAUGUGCCGAAUUUACCCCCACAUAUGUUUGGUUAUGUGUUGCCUUCGUUCAUUUGCCACGACAAGACAAAUUAUCUCCUCGAGCACUACGUUGUGUAUUUGUAGGGAAUGCCUUACAUAAAAAAGGGUACCGAUGCUAUCAUUCUCUAUUAAGAAAAAAUAUACAUCACCAUGGACGUCGUCUUUUAUGAAGAUAUCAUGUACUACCCAUCAGAGCCUGAAUUUCAGGGGGAGUAUAAUGAAGAGGAAAUUCAUAUUCUUUCAUAUCUUCCACCUGAAGAAGAUCAAUCCUCCAUUGAGGUAGUAAACCUUCAAGAUACUGGAAAAGAAAAUGGCGAUGAUUCUCAGGCUAAGACAAGUGAAUACACAUUUGGGGAGCAAAAUAACUCAGACAUAACCAUAAUCGAGAAUGAGUCCAUGAAGAACCACAUGAAGAAAUAUCUAACCAAUCGUCUGCAGAGGAUGAUCCUACCACAAAUCCUAGUCUAAUAAGAAGAAUACUUCCCCAGCAUCAAAAUAGAGGUAUCCCUAAACCCACAUAUAAGCCUAACCUCUCUAGUAGAGUCAAAUACCCUAUAAGUCAUUUUGUGUCUAACCAUCGCUUGUUAGAAUCAAAUUAGUCAUUUGUGAAUCAAUUAUCUACUGUGUCUAUUCCUAACAGUGUGCAGGAAGCCUUAAAAAAUCCAAAGUGGAAAGCAGCUAUGAAUGACGAAAUGAGAUCUCUUCAAAAAAAUCAAACAUGGGAACUAGUUGAUCUUCCACCAGGAAAGAAACCAGUGGGUUGCUCUUCAGAAGUAUUUGUUGAGAGAGUUUGAGAUGAAGGAACUCAAAAAUAAAAAUAAAAAUAAAAAUCAUACCCAAUAAAAGAGAAAAAAUAAUCCACAAAAAAUCAUCAAGAAAAUAAAUUUGAGACUAAGAGACACCCUGGGUUGCCUUGGAACCACGGCUUUGGCUUCCAUUUUUCAAUUCUUGGCUACAAGUAAUUUAUUGUUUGUUUACAAAGAUGACGGCUGAUUAAUGAAGCUCUAUUAACAAUGAAUGAAUCAAAAAACUUGAGCCUUGAAAAGACUAACGGUCAUAUUUUUCCAACUCCGAAUUAGUGCGUUUGAUGAGUCCUUGCCAAAACAAUCACUCGGCAAAUAACGAUCAUUUUUCAACCAGCAAAACUCAUUCAUUGUUUCUCACGUUAGUUAAGAUUUAAAAAUUGUUUCAAAAUAAGCCUAGUGGUUAGAACCCAAGCGUCACAAUUGUGAGGUCAUGGGUUCGAGCCCCCUCAACAUAUUGUGGGGGUUAAUUUCCUUCUUCAAUUUGAGUGAAGACGGUUCUCUCCCUUUCGAAAUGUGAGUAGAGUGGACGUCCCUCAAAUAUUAGAGAGGGUUAAAAUCUAGGUUGUACUAUAUAAGAUUUGUAAAUUAGUCCCAGUAAUUGUCUGAUUGUAAAUAUCAAUAUACUAAUCUAAUUAAAUAUGAGUUGUAAUCUGAGCAUCAAUAUCAGUUAAUAGGUUGAUUGAAUAUAUGUGGUAAAGAUUCCACGUAUCUCAUGACGGAAUGCUGACCCUAUCUACUUUUACGCGAUUAUUUCACGAGCUUAGGCACGACAAUUGCAAUACAAAUUAUCCCCUCAUCGUAUAUUUCGUUAAAAUUCAUUCUGAAACACUAAACAAUCGAAUAUGGCUUUGCGGGUCGAUGAUGCCAGCAGCAAUGAGAGUGCAAUUAUCACUUGUUUAGUUUCUGUGCUUGCCGUGACUUAUUUCGCAUGGAAUGUGAAAAAAUCAAGGAAAGCAAAUGCUAAACUGCCACCAGGACCUCGCGGCUUGCCUGUAAUCGGAUACCUCCCGUUUCUCGGAACUACUGACUUGCACAAGAAAUUCACGGAAUUUAUUUUACUAUUAUAUUUUUAUUCAAAAUAAUUUUAAUUAGCUUUUAAAAUGAAUGAUUUUAGGAAAUAUAAAUAAAGGUAACUAAGAAUUCUCUUAAUGCAAUAUAUUAUUAAUUAGUUUAAAAAUACAAAUUUAUUAAUUAGAGAAAUUAUUAGUGAAUUUAAAUUAAUGAUCUUAAUGAUUUGUUUGUACGAUUGCCCCCAAUCAAAGGUAAUUUUCCUAAAAAUUAUUAGGAAAUUAGAGAAAUUUAAUUUUUUUAGUGGGUUCAAUUGCCCACACACCCCGACUGAAGCAUUUUUUACAAUAUGUACUCCGUUUGUCGGCUGGAAAAUAAAGGUCUUGACACAUGAUCACUUCAUUCCUUUAUUUACUUUGCUAACGCAGAUUUUGAGGUAUUAAAACAAAUAAUAAUUGAAUAUGACUUUGUGGGUCGACGACGCCAGCAACGAGGAGACCGCCAGUUAUCACAUUUUAAGUUUGCUGUAAUUGCCAUUGUUUUAUAUUAGUAGAAUAUUAGUGAUAAGAUAAUUAAAGAAUAUUAUAGGAGAAAUUCUAAUGUUUGCCUUUUAAUAAAUUAGUUUAUAAGUUUAAAAAAAUUAACAUAUAUCAAAAUAUUAUUGAUUGGUGUUGGUUUCACGUCAGAUUAAGACGUGACAUUUUACUUGUGAGACUGAGACAAUCGUCUUAGACUACUUCAAUAGGUUUGAAGCGUAGGCGGCACCGCUUCAAUUUGCACCAAUGUCUAUCAUUCUUUGUCCUAAUUACUACGAUAAUUAAUAACAUGCAAUUGAAAUUAUUAAUGUUAGUACUUGCCUAUAGAUAAAGGUAUUGUACUUGAAUCUUCACACACGAUCACUUCAUUCCUUUAUUUACUUUGGUAACACAGAUUUUGAGAGAUAUUAAAACUAAAGAAUAAUUGAAUAUGGCUUUGUGGGUUGAUGAUGCCAGCUCCAACGUGAGUGCAAUUAUCGCAUGUUUAAUUGCUCUAUUAGCCGUGGUCUAUUUCGUGUGGACAAGGAAAACAAAUGCUAAACUUCCACCAGGACCUCGCGGCUUGCCUGUAAUCGGAUACCUCCCGUUUCUCGGAACUACUGACUUGCACAAGACAUUCACGGAAUUAGCUGGUGUAUAUGGUCCAAUCUUCAAGCUCUGGCUUGGCAAAAAAUUGUGUGUAGUGGUGAGCUCACCUUCCCUAGUUAAACAAGUGGUUCGUGAUCAAGAUAUAACAUUCGCUAACCGCGACCCACCGAUAGCUGGACUCGUGGCCUCCUUUGGUGGCAAUGAUAUUUUAUUUCCCAAUUAUGGUCCUGAAUGGAGAAAGUUGCGCAAAUUAUUUGUGGGUAAGUUGAUGAGUAACGCAAGUCUUGACGCUUGUUAUGCUCUAAGAAAACAAGAGGUUAAAAAUAUAAUUAGGGAUUUGUAUAAUAACAACAAAACUGGCAUUGGCAAGCCCAUAGAUGUUGGUGAGUUGUCGAUCUCAACUUUUGUAUGUGUUAUACAGAACAUGCUAUGGGGUGAAGCUCUUGAGUUAAGAGAGAAAGGGAUCAGUAACCUUGGGGCUGAGCUAAAGUUUAAGCUAGCAGAACUCGUGGUGCUAAUGGGAACACCGAAUAUUUCGGAUAUCAUUCCGUGCUUCCAUGGCUUGAUAUACAAGGUAUAGAGAAGAGAACAAAGAAGAUUUCUCUAUGGUUUGAAAAUUUUAUCGAUUCUGCUGUUGAACAGUACAGAAACAAGGUCUCUGUUGUCGAAGAGGGAGGAGCAGGGAACAAUAUUGAAGGAAGGAAUAAAGACUUCUUACAGUUACUCUUGGAGCUUCAGGAAAAUGAGGACAGUGCUUCAUCAAUUAGCACGAUCCAAUUGAAGGCCUUGCUCGUGGUAUGUUGUGCCACUGCCACAAACUGUUGUACAAGCGCAGCUGUAUAAGUUAUGUGUUUUAGCUCAAGUUGUGGGCAUGGACAGCUGUGUUGAAGAAUUUCACUUGCCCAAAUUAAAGUACUUAGAUGCUGUGGUGAAAGAAACAUUUCGGCUGCAUUCUGUGCCCUAUUUAGUACCACGUAGGGCAAGCCAAAGUAGCAGCAUUGGUGGCUAUACUGUUCCUAAAGAUACAACGAUUAUAUUGAAUGUUUGGGCAAUCCACAGAGAUCCUCAAAUUUGGGAUAACCCCUUAGAAUUUGGACCAGAGAAGUUUUUUAAUGAUGGUAUUGCGAGCAAAUUUGAUUACUCGGGUAAAAAUUUUCAGUACUUGCCAUUUGGUUCUCGCAGAAGGAUGUGUGCAGGGAUUGCUCUGGCAGAGACGAUGCUGAUGUUUGUUCUGGCUUCAGUGUUGCACUCAUUUGAUUGGAAAUUGCCGGCAGGCACAAAGCUAGACUUACCUGAAAAGUUUGGGAUUUUGAUUAAGAAAAAGGAGCCUUUGGUUGCUAUUCCAACACCAAGACUACCCAAUUCAGAGCUCUACCAAUAAGACAAAUGGUUGUGAUGGUAUUGUAUCCCCAAUGUAUUGGAAGAUUUGUAUGUUAUUUCAAGUUCAAUCAUAAUAAGCAUAUUAAUAAAUGUCUUCAGGUUGUUAUUUUUUCACUGGCACAAUCUAUCAUCAUACUCGUGUUUUCGAGCUAUUGAUUUAUUUUUGAAUUGCAAUCUGAAAUAUAUAUACUUUAAAUUUCUUACAAGAUUUUAAAUUUAUAUACAUCUUCAACCCAAAAUCUCCCAAAAAUUCUAAAAUCCAAAAUUUUACAAAGCAUAGACCAAAAUUUUUAUACCAACUAAUUUUUUGAUUUAUUCUACACUUUCUAAAAGGAGAGAUGUUUACUCCAAUAUUUGGACUACAAUUAUAUCUAAGCUUAGGUGCCAAAUAAUAAAUUUAUAAGUAAAUUGGAUUUUUAACAUGGAGAGAGUUCUAAAACAACUUGCUUAAAGCAAAUGAACUGUCCAAUUAAUUCAAAUUUUCAAAAACAAAUCUUUAAACAUUCAACGGACAUUUUCACAAGCUCCUGGAAAGCACAAUGUAAAACCCAACAAAGAAUACAAAAAAUCUUUGAACUUUUCACAAGCUUCUUGAAGAGAUGCGACGUCGCUGCUUUGGUAACUCAGAAGGCUCAGAGAUCUUUGAGGAAAUCAUGGUUCGCUUUCUUUUUUAUCUUUCUUCCUAAUCCUUUCAAAUUGUGUGAAGGCCAAUAUAUCCAUGAAUCUAAAUCUCUGUAAAUUUGUUUUGCACAAAUUUGGAUAAUUAUUUUCUCCGUGCACAAUAUCUAUCACUGUAUCAGCUGUUUUUAUUUAUUUAUUUAUUUAUUUUUGGAGGGGGAGGCAGUUUAGAAGAGCUGGAGGGUGUUCUUGACAGAGCUCAAAUUUGUUGCGUGCUCGUUGGGUGGAUAUAUCCAUCAAAGAUAUCCCGUACAGUGACAUUUGUCGUGAUCAAAUUAUUAGUAGAUCAAUGAUUUCGACAUCUGUUUACUGUAAUAAAAUUUGUCACUAUACAUUGAUGUAAGUAUUUGAUGUGAUUUUCUAACUGCUACUGAUGGGAAACAGUUAGGAUGCGUUUGAGAUUGAGGUGUUAUAGUUUUUAAGCUAUAACUGCUAUAAAAAAAAAUUGUAAUUAUAAAAUAAAAAUUAGUAAUAUAGAGUAAAUAUAAUUUUCAAAUAAUAAUUUUGACAAAAUUAUUAAAGAUAUAAUAUAUUUUUUAUGAUAUAAGUGAAAAAUCACAUCAACAUAGCUUUCAAUCUACAGCAGCUAGUGUUUACCAAACACUUUGCUGUAGCUUUUAAGUUACAGCUGCCCAACCUCAAUCUCAAAUGCACCCUUAAUAGGUGAUUGAAUUUGUGGGAUAUAGAUUCCACAUAUCUUAUGACCUAGUAAUUAUACAAGUGGUUCGUGAUCAAGACACAACAUUUGCUUCCGGCCCGGUGACCCAGCAAUCGCUGCACUGGUCGCCACCUAUGGUGCCGACGAUAUUGCACGGUCCAAUUGUGGCCUUGAAUGGAAAAAGUUGAACAAAUUAUUUGUGGACACGAUGAUAAGUAACGCAAGCCUUGAUGCUAGUUAUGGUCGAAGAAAACAAGAGGUUAAGAACACUAUCAGAGAUAUGCAUAACAACAAAAAGGAAAAAAAAAAAAAAAAGGCAUUUGUAAGCCCAUUGAUAUUGGUGAAUUGUCGAUUUUUUUUAAUAUUAAAAUCAAGUCAAUUUAUUAUAAUAAAUUUAUCACAUGUUAAGUUUGCUGUAAUUGCCGUUGUUUUAUAUUAGUAGAAUAUUAGUGAUAAGAUAAUUGUAGAGUUUUCAUUUUUUUAAUAUUAAAAUCAAGUCAAUUUAUUGUAAUAAAUUUAGUUGAAUUUAAUCGUAUUACCACAUAAAUUGAAUAAUAAUAGAAUUCUCGACAAUAUUUCAAUAUUUUAAUCUCAAGCAUUGGAGUGGCAUUUAUUUGUUAUACGGUCGAUUUUAGAAUUUUUAAAAUUAUUCGUUACUGAAUUGCACCAUAUGCUGCAUCACCUGUGUAAAGUAACCAGUGAAAGCAAUUCAGAGACUUUGAAACGACUUGAGAAAGUGCGUUUCGGUGUGUAAACUAAAGCCAAGUGAAACGAUGUCAAGGAAUGUCGUUUUACUUAAGUGAAACACCUGAGACGCACGUGAAUGGAUUCGAAUGAAAGAAGCCGUUAAAGUCGUUGAUGAAGCAUGGCUUGCACGUGAGCAUCUGGGAUUAGUUUCCAGGAAGUUAUCAGCAACUGAAAGGAGCUGAUUCUGGUGCAGAUAGCUGGCUACAAUUUAUGAGUAUAAAAGGGGGGUUACUCCUGGGUUUAAGUGCAAGUAAUUUCCAUGAGAUACCAUCUGUAAUUCUCUGUAAUCUUGAGUUCAUUCAAUAAAAGCCUGAAGUCUUGUUCCUCCGUGGAUGUAAGCUAAGUGUUUUAGCUGAACCACGUUAAAACUUUUCUGUUCUUUAUUCUUUAGUUUAUUUCGAUUCCUUGAUUCUUAAACCAUUGAUUGUUUUGUUCAGUAGAAGUUCUUGGUUAAAUCUUUUUCAAGUCAUCUAUAGUCAAGCAUCUAGGAAUCUGAUCUUGGAUCUUGGGCAGAAGCUGAAGGUGUUUGAGCAAUUGAGUGCCCUUCAGGUUCUACAACCUGGAACUUACUAAACGGAACGUAGCGUUGGCACCGUUACUCAAUAUUCACUGUUACGACUUUGUGACAUUAGAAUUAAAAUCUUUUCCACAUUUAAUUUGUUUACUUCCAAAUUAAUAUUUAACAAAAUAUUUUUUCACAUUAUCAAUGGACAAAACUCCAACGAAAAUAACUAUACAAGAAAUUGUAUGCUAGCAUUGUAUGCCAUAUCAUCUGUAAUUUUGUCAGGAUCGAUCAUUCUAAUUUUUAAGCAGAACUUUUUGUCAAUUGACAAACACCUCACACAGCUUGUCAGAGGCAUUAUUAUGAUGUAAAAUUGUAAUGGUGUAUCUUGAAUUAUUGGUAGAAUAGUGAAUAACUAUUUGGAGCAAUAAAAACAAAUAAGACAGAUGAGAAAAUGGCUAAAAUUAUAUAAGUGACCCAAAAUUUUUUGUUAUUUCCAAGAAAUCCCCAAUCUGAAUGGACCAGAGGGAGGCAAGUUAGAAAUACAUUUCCUUCAUAGACAUUAACAACGAUGAGUGGAUGACAUCAAGCCACGUCGGUAUCAAUAUUGAAAUAAAGGUGCAAUAAAGAAAGUUUUUCUAUGGUUUGAACAAAGGUGGUUUUAAUGAGUAUUAUAGACCUCGAUUGAAUGUUCGAAUGUAUAAUAAAAGAGAAACUGUCACAUAAAUGACAAAGAUACUUGAAAAAAAAAAAAAGGGCAGCAAUAGAGAAUUAGAUCCGACUGCACAAAUAACUAGUUAAUUCAUCGAUACAUCAUUUUCUUGCUAGAAAAUGACAAUUAUGACAGCAAGCCACGAUAGUGUCAAUAUUGAAAUUGAUUUGCAAUUAUUCAGCCAAUGAUCCUUACACGUCAAGAUAAAAGUCAAGAAAAUGAAAGUUAAUAUCAAUUAAAACACUUCCUGGGCUGCAUUUAGCAGUUUCUAUGUGAAGUUAAAAAACAACGUUUCUUUUGUUUUGUGGGGGAUUCAACUGAGCACGCGCCACUAGCUAGCUGGCUUCUAGUUCUAGCAUAUGAAAACAGAAUACUAAAGAUUUCACUUUCACCUUUUUUUUUUCUUUUUUUGGGGGUUUUGAAUCAAAGUCAAGGUCGCACUGAAUAAUAUGUAAAAUUUGAAAAAGAAGAAUUAAUAGAGAACAAAGUUUUGUUUUAAAUUCACAUGGUGUGCAUCCAAUUCAACAAACACUUCCUAUAAUAAAUCUGGAGUUGUGUCCCACGUUGAACAAUAAAGGAAAGUCACCUAAAUAUACAUGUAGGAUAAGUUACUUUAUUUAGUAAGUUUGUAUUUUCUUCUUUCUUCUAGUUUACACAUAAAUUUGAUUAGAUAACUUAACACAUAUUCUAAUACUUGAUCAGAAGCCCUACGUACAGGUGGAUCUAGAAACUUGAUUUCUAAGAGUAAUACUAUAAUAAAAAAAUAAUGAUUCAUAGAACCAAUAUCAAAAUUUGUUUACAAGAUUACCCCCACUCAAAAGUAAUUUUCAUAGAAAUUAAUAGGAAAUUUAAUUGUUAGUGGGGUCAAAUUGCCCCCACACUCUGAAUGUAGAUCCACGCCCGACCCUGAGUCAAGUAUAUUUUGCCACAUAUACUCUGAAUGUCGGCAGGAAAAAUCUUCCACUUUAGUUUAAAAUUUUCACUUAAAAAUUAUUUAUGUUAAUAAAGUUCGUAAAGAAAAUAAGUUUAAUUAAUGAAUAUUAUAGGAGAAAUUAAAGGAAAUGAGUUUAAUUAAAGAAUAUUAUAGGAGAAAUUCUAUUGUUUGGCUUUUAAUAAAUUAAUUAAUAGGUUUAAAAAGAUUAAUAUACAUCAAAAUAUUAUUAGUUGGUGGUGGUUCCACAUCGGACUAAGACGUGGCACCUUACUUGUGAGAUUUAGACAAUCGGCUUAGACUAUUUAAAUAUGUUUGAAGCUUAGAUGGCACCGCUUCAAUUUGCAUUACUGAAUGUCAUUCUUUAUCCUAAUUACUACCGUAAUUGAUAACAUGCAAUUGAAAUAACUAAUAUUAGCACUUGGCUAUAAAUGAACUAAAGGCCGUGCAAUUGAAUCUUUACUUGAUCACUUCAUUUCUUUAUUUUGCUAACACAGAUUUUGAGAUAUUAAAACGAAAUAAUAAUUGAAUCUGGCUUUGUGGGUCGAUGAUGCCAGCAACAACGAGACCACAAUUAUCACUUGUUUAUUUGCUGUAUUUGACGUUGUUUCAUAUUGGUAGUAAUAAGGUCGUUGUAGAGUUUUUAAUCUUUUUAUAUUAAAGUUAAGUCAAUUUGUUAUUAAAAAAAAAAAUUGGUUGAGUUUAAUUAUAUUGCUAUGUACAUUAAAUAAUUAUAAUAUUUUCUAGGGAAAAAGACACCUAGAACCUCAAGGUUUGGGAAAAUGGUCACAAAAACUCCUAAGUUUUAAAAAAGGAACACUAAGAUCUUUUUUUAUCCAUAAUACCCUUUGACUAUAGUAAUUAAAAAAUUGACUUUAAAGGUUUUUAAAUAAUAUAAAUUUAAUAUAAAUCAUAUAAUCUAUCUAGUAAACUAAUAAUAUUAAAUUAUUUUUUAUAUUUAAAAUAAUGUUAAAUUUUAAAUUAUUAUAUUUAUUUUAAUAAUAUAUUUAUAAAAUUAUAAAGAUUUUAAAUAAAUCUUUGGAUUGAAUAUAUUUUACAAUUAAAAGUCUUCCUAUUAAUAAUAUUAAAAUUAAAUUUUACAUAAUAUAUAUUCAAAAUAUUUUUAAUUUAAUUUUAUUUAUUUUAAUAUUAUGUUUCUAUCUAUUAUUAAAAAUUACUUUAAUAUAAUAAAAUAGGUCUAAUAGAUUGAAAAAUAUGAAAAUAUUUUUAAAAUUUUAAAUUAUUUUGAAAUGUAUAUAUUAUUACAUUUAUUUCAAUGUCAUAUUUCCAUUUAUUAUAAAAUUUUGGGGUUAUUUUUUUGGGAAUUUAUAGAGUCAAAGAGCAUUAUGGUUAAAAAAGAGUCUUGGUGUCCCUUAUUGAAAACUUUGGAGUUUUUGUGACCAUUUUCUUAAAUCUUGGGGGUGUUGAAGUGGCAUUUACUUAUUGUAAGAUUGAUUUUAAAAUAUGUAAAAUUAAUUUUAUUACAUUACCAUAUGCUACAUCACCUGAAACUUAAUAAAUGGAACGUAGCAUUACUCCACGUUCACCGUUAUGACCUUAUGACAUUAGAAUUAAAAUCUUUCGUACGUUUAAAUUGUUUACUUCCAAAUUAAUCUUUCGUAAAUAUUUUGUAAAGAUCUUAUCGGAGUUAGCGUGUUCAUUACAGUGUUUCUUUUCUUUUGUCCUUUCUUUUGAAACGUAUAUCGUGUGGACAAGGAAAGCAAAUAAUACCCUGCCACCAAGACCUCGCGGCUUGCCUGUAAUCGGAUACUUCCAUUUCUCGGAAUUACUGACUUGCACAAGACAUUCACGGAAUUAGCUGGUCUAUAUGGCCCGAUCUUCAAACUCUGGCUUGGCAACAAAUUGUGUGUAGUGGUUAGCUCGCCUUCAGCUAGUUCUAUAAGAAUAUCCCUUUUAAAGGAUUCUCUCUCUGCAAAAUUUUUUUAUCUUCUGGUGCAUAAUAAAAACUUAUGCCACUUCAUUAACCACAGACAUCUUUUGAGGAAACGAUGUUUCGUUUUCUUUUGUUGUUGCCUUCCUAAUCCUCGCAUAUCGUGUGAAGGCUAAUAUAUCCAAGAAUCUAAAUCUCUGUAAAUCUUUUUCUAUCCAAAUCUACAUAAUAAUUUAAUCCAUGCACAAUAUCUAUAAUUAUAUCGGCUGUCGGCUGAUUUCGUGGAGGGGGCGGCAGUUCAAAUUUUUUACGUGCAUGUUGGAUGGACGUCUCUAUUAAAGGAGAGCCACCACUUGCAUGGUAAUUUUUUAAAAUAAAUAUAUACAUUUCAAAACAUUUUUUUGUUUAUUGUAUAGUUAACAUAUCUCCUUAGAUGUAUUUUAGAGCUUCUCCUAUUAAAGAUAAUCUCAUGCAGUGAUACUUCUCGUGAUCUAAUCAUUAGUAGAAUCUAUAAUUUCGCUACUGUAAUAAAAUCUGUCCCUACCCUAUAUGAAUGUAGAUAUUUGACGCGAUUUGUAAUUGCUUCCGACAGGAAAACAGCAAUAGUUUAAUUGAAAUUUGUGGCAUAGAUUCCACGAAUCUUAUGACAGAAUACUGACCACUCCAACCCCAUCCGCAUUUACACGAUUAAUACACAAGCUUAGGUGUGACAAUGCAUUUGUCACUUGUUCAAAUUCAUCCUGAAACACUAUACACUAAAUAAUCGAAUAUGGCUUCGUGGGUCGAUGAUGCUAGCAGCAACGAGACUGCAAUUAUCACUUGUUUUGUUGCUGUAUUUGUCGUGGUCUAUUUCGCAUGGAAUGAAAACAAAUCAAGUAAAGCAAAUGCUAAAUUGCCACCAGGACCUCGGGGCUUGCCAGUAGUCGGAUACCUCCCAUUUCUUGGAACUACUGACUUACACAAGACAUUCACGGAGUUAUCUGGAGUUUAUGGUCCGAUCUUCAAGAUUUGGCUUGGGAAUAAAUUGUGUGCAGUGGUGAGCUCGCCUGCCCUAGUUAAACAAGUGGUCCGUGAUUAAGAUACAACAUUCUCAAACGGCGACCCACCGAUCGCUGGAACUGUGACCACCUACGGUGGCAAUGAUAUUGCACUUUCCAAUUAUGGUCCCGAAUGGAAAAAGUUGCGAAAAUUAUUUGUGAGCAAGAUGAUGAGUAAUGCAACCCUUGAUGCUUGUUAUGCUCUAAGAAAACAAGAGGUUAAAAAUACUAUCAGGGAUUUGUACAACAACAAUAAGGAUAAUAUUGGCAGUGGCAAUGGCAAGCCCAUUGACGUUGGUGAAUUGUCGAUUUCAACUUUGGUACGUGUUAUGCAGAACAUGCUGUGGGGUCAAGCAUUGGAAACAAGAGAGAAAGAGAUUACUAAUCUCGGGGCUAAUCUUGCAGAACUCAUGGUGCUACUGGGAACACCAAAUAUUUCGGAUAUUUUUCCAGUGCUUUCAUGGCUUGACAUGCAAGGUAUAGAGAGAAGAGCUGAGAAGAUUUCUCUAUGGUUUGAAAAUAUUAUCAAUUCUGGUGUUGAACAGUAUAGAAACAAGUUUUCUGUUGUUAAAGGUGAAGAAGCUGCAGCAGGAAAAAAUAUUGAACGAUCAAGAAAUAAGGACUUCUUGCGGUUACUGUUGGAGCUUCAGGAAAAUGAAGAUAGUGCUUCAUCUAUUAGCAUGUGUGAAGGAAGCUCACUAUUCGAGCAAUUCAGUGAAGCCACAUCAGCAGAAGAUUAUAGUGAAAUAAAGGAGUUCAGCUGAGUUGGUUGAAAUGUCGUUAUACAGCUCAUAGUUCGUUAUGAAGAAUUAGUUAGUUACAUGUAGAAAUCACGUGUGAGAACUUUGUAUAUAAACGUGAGCUUGUAAACAAUAUCAAUUUAAUUGAAUACACUGGAAAUUUUUCAUAGUUUUAUUUUCUCAGAGAUUUUCCAUUAAACCAAACAGUCUAUCUCUGUUAUUUUACAGAUGAACCAACUAAAGGCCGUGCUCGUGGUAUGUUAAGCAACUAGACACAAAAAGUUGUAAAAUCACAGCGAUAUAUUUGCGCGAGGCCGCGAGUGAUGUUUUGCCUCGAGACCUCUCAAUUUUAUCUUACGGUAAAAAAUGUUUUUCAACUUUUUUUUUAAUUAGAAUUUUAUUGCAAUUUAUUUAACAGGACAUAAUUGUGGCCGGAACCGACACCACAACUACGAUGGUGGAAUGGACAAUGGCAGAGUUGAUGCAACAUCCACAAGUAAUGAAGAAAGUUCAAGAAGAAUUAGCUCAAGUUGUGGGCAUGGACAGUUGUGUUGAAGAAUAUCACUUGCCUAAAGUAAAGUAUUUAGAUGCUGUGGUGAAAGAAACAUUUCGUUUGCAUCCUGCGUUGCCCUUAUUGGUACCUCGCACGGCAAGCCAGAACAGCAAUAUUGGUGGCUAUACCAUUCCCAACGACACUAAUCUUAUGUUGAAUGUUUGGGCUAUUCACAGGGAUCCUCAACUUUGGGAUAAUCCCUUAGAUUUUCGACCUGAGAGGUUCUUGAAUGAUGAUAUCAUAAGCAAAUUCAAUUACUCGGGUAACAAUUUUCAGUACUUGCCAUUUGGUUCUGGUAGAAGGAUGUGCGCUGGCAUUGCUCUAGCUGAGAGGAUGUUGAUGCUUGUUCUGGCUUCGUUGUUGCACUUGUUUGAGUGGAAAUUGCCCCCGGGCACAAAGCUAGACUUAUCUGAAAAGUAUGGGAUUGUCAUGCGGAAAAAAGAGCCUCUGAUUGCUAUUCCAACACCAAGGCUACCAAAUUCAGAUCUCUACCAGUAAGAUCAAAAUGGUUGUUAUGAUAUUAUUUCCCAUUGUAUUGGAAGAUUUUUGUGUGAUUUGAAGUUCAAUCAUAAUAAAAUAUUUUAAUAAAAUGUCCUCGGUUGCUAAUUUUUCAAUAGUAUACUCUAUCAUCGUUUCUAACUGUCUUUUAGAGCCAUUUGGUCUAAUUUAUUUUUGAAUUAAAAUCCAUAAGUAUUUAAAUUUUUGAAUUAUAUUAGGAAUUAUCUGGAGUGUAUGGUCUGAUCUUCAAGCUCUGGCUUGAACAAAAAUUAUGCAUGGUCGUGUACACGCUUUCCCUAAUUAAGCAUGAGGUUCGUGAUCAAGGCACAACAUUCACUCCCUGCGACCCAACAAUCGCUACAUUGUUUGCCACCUAUAGUGCCAACGAUAUUGCACGGUCCAAUUAUGGUCCCCAAUCGAAAACGUUGCGCAAAUUAUUUCUGGGCAAGAUGAUAAGUAACGCAAGCCUUGAUGCUUGUUAUGGUCUAAGAAAACAAGAGGUUAAAAAUACUAUCAGAGAUAUAUAUAAAACAACAACCGAAAAAAUUGAGCAAAUCAUGUGUAGGCAAGAUGACAAGUAACGCAAGCCUUGAUGCUUUUUAUGGUCUAAGAAAACAAGAGGUUAAUAUAUAUAUAUAUAUAUAUAUAUAUAAAUUGGCAUUGUCAACUUUAGUAUGUUUUAUUCAGAACCCGCUGUGGGUUGACGCUAGCAUGCUUGCGUUAGGAGACGAGGGGACCAAUCUUGGGGCUGAGCUAAAAUAUAAGCUUGUAGAGAUCAUCUUGCUAAUGGUACUGUUUUCCGAUGCUGGUUUAAUUCAUGGUAUAAAAAGGAGAACAAAGAAGAUUUUUCUAUGCUUUGAAAAUAUUAUAAUUUUUAGUUUAUAAUUUUUAAUAAAAUCUCUCAUUAAUAGCCAAACAACUAAAAUUUUUGUAAAGCUUUUGUGGACUUUUGAUCGCGUAUGGUGCCAAUGUAUUGCGCGGUCCUAUUAUGGUUCCAAAUGGAGAAAGUUGCACAAGUUUUUUGAGUACCAGAAGAUCAGUAAUGUAAGCCUUGAUGGUUGUUAUGGUCUAAGAAAACAAGAGGUUAAAAAUUCUAUCUGGGAUUUUUAUAACAACAACAAAAUUGGCAAGCCCAUUGACAUUGGUGAAUUGUCAGUUUCAACCUUGGUAAGUGCGAUUCAGAACAUGCUGUGGGGUGAAACGCUUGAAAUAACAAAGAAAUGGAUUUACUAAUAUUGGGGCUGGGCUAAGAUUUAAGCUUGCAGAACUCACGGUGCUAGAGGGAACACCGAAUAUUUUGGAUAUCUUUCCAGUGCUUUCAUGGUUUAAUAUACAAGGUUUUCAGAGAAUAGCAAAGAAGCGUUCUCUAUGGUUUUAAAAUAUUAUCAAUUAUACUGCUGAACGCUAUAGAAACAACGUCUCUAUUGUCAAAAGUGAAGAAGCAGCAGCAGCAGGGAACAAUUUUGAAGGAAGGAAUGAGGACUUGGUGCAGUUACUCUUGGAGCUUCAAGGUAAAGAAGACAAUGCUUCAUCAAUUAGCAUGACGCAAUUUAAGAGCUUGCUCGUGGUAUGUUGCGCAACUAGCCACAGACAGUUACAGAAACUGAGUUUGGCAGAUUACGACCAUUUCUGGUGAUUACAUAAUUAUUUGUGGCUGUUUUUUUUUUUAAUUGUAAUUUUCUUAACAGGAUAUAAUUUAGGGUGGAACCAACACCACAACUAUAAUGGUGGAAUGGACAAUGGCAUAAUUGAAACAGCAUCCACAAGUAAUAGAGAAUGUACAGGUAGAACUAAAUCGGGCCGUGGCCAUCGACAGCCAUGUUGAAGAAUUUCACCUACCUAAGUUAAAAUAUUUAGAUGCUGUGGUGAAAGAAACAUUCUGCACUGUAAUAUAAUACAUGAAUCAUAUGUCCUCUAUUGUUUUUUUAUUUUUCUCUUUUUUUCAAUAGCUUAAUCUAUCAUUAAAAUCUUCUGAAAUUCUAAAUUAAUAUACAUUCAACCUAGAGUUCAAGCCAAAGUUUUAUUGAGCAUUAAAAAAAAUAUAUCUACGACAAAAAAUUUUGCGGAGUAUAAAUUAAAAAUUAUGCGCCUACUAAGAGACAAAAAAUAAAUGAUACACAUUAACCAAUCAAAGGCGAACAAGAGAUUAUUAACAAUAACCUAAUAAUAAAAUUGUAAGGAAUAAAAAAGAAAUGGUACCUAGAAACACAUCACAGCCAUUUAAGCAAUCACUUACCCAUAAAAUCCAAACAUAUAAACUUGGGGGGGGGGGGGGGUCAUGAUACCUUUGGGUUUCAUGAUAAUCAAAAUUGCAAUACCAUUAAAGACUCAAAAAUAAAAAAAAAUCAUAGCCAAUAAAAGAGAAAAAAUAACCCACAAAAAAUCAUCAAGAAAAUAAAUUUGAGAGUAAGAGAAGAUAUUAAUUAAACCCUGGGUUGCCUUGGAACCACGGCUUUGGCUUCCAUUUUUCAAUUCUUGGCGACAAAUAAUUUCUUGUUUGUUUACAAAGAUGACGGCUGAUUAAUGAAGCUCUAUUAACAAUGAAUGAAUCAAAAAACUGGCGCCUUGAAAAGACUAACGGUCAUAUUUUUCAACUCCGAAUUAGUGCCGUUUGAUGAGUCCUUGCCAAAACAAUCACUCGGCAAAUAACAAUCAUUUUUCAACCAGCAAAACUCAUUCAUUGUAUUUCACCUUAGUCAAGAUUUAAAAAUUGUUUCAAAAUAAGCCUAGUGGUUAGAACCCAAGCGUCACAAUUUUGAGGUCAUGGGUUUGAGCCCCCACAACGUAUUGUGGGGGUUAAUUUUCUUCUUCAAUUUGAGUGAAAAUAGUUCUCUCCCUUUCAAAAUGUGGGUGGAUUGGACGUCCCUCAAAUAUUAGAGAGGGUUAAAAUUUGGAUUGUACUAUAUAAGAUUUAUAAAUUAGUCUCAGUAAUUGUCUGAUUGUAAAUAUCAAUAUACUAAUCUAAUUAAAUAUGAGUUGUAAUAUGAGCGUUAGUCUCAUGUAAUUAAAAAAAAAUUGUUUCAAAAUAGGAUUCUUAAAAUGUUGGGGAAAUGGCCAUCAAUAUCCCCAACUUUCCAAAAAGAGACACAAAGACCCAUUUUGACCAUAAUACCCUUUACUUCUAUUAUCCCCAAAAAAUUGACUCUAAUGUUUUAUAAUAAAUAAAAAUAUAACAUUAAAAUAAAUGUAAUAGUAUAUACAUUUUAAAAUAGUUUCAAUAUUUAAAAACUAUUUUAAUAUUUUAAAUCCUAUUAUAUAUAUAUAUAUUCAAGUAAAUUUUAUAAUAAAUAGAAUCAUAAUAUUGAAAUAAAUGCAUUAAAAUUUAAAUUAUUUUUAAUAUUAUGUAAAAUAAUAAUUUUAUCAUUAUAAGUAUAUGAGAAUUUUUUUAAUUGUAGAAUGUAUUUAAUGCAAAUAUUUAUUUAAAAUCUCUACAAUAAAUAAAAAUAUACUAUUAAAACAAAUCUCUACAAUAUAUACAUACAUACAUAUACAUUGGCCUGGUAUUUUAUUUUUCAUUUUUAAACUUAUUAAAUCCUCUAACUAUCAUUUGAUUUUUUUUUCAAUGAUGAAGAGGCCAUUGCCGGAUAAAUUAUUAAUAUCAACUAGUUCUACAAGAAUGUCCCUUUUUAAAGGAAGAUCAUUCUCUCUCUCGAAAUUUUUUAUCUUGUGCUACAAACUAAAAACUUAUGCCAUUUCAUUAACCACAGAGAUCUUUGAGGAAAUGAUGCUUCGCGCCCCCCCCCCCCGGCGGCGCCAAAAAGUGUCCUUCGAUAUUUUGUGAAGGCUAAUACAUCGAUGAAUCUAGAUUUCUUUAAAUUUUUUGUUUUACUCAAUUCGAGAUAAUAAAUAGUUUAUCUUUAUUAAAUCUUUACUUUAACAAUGAUAGAUAUUCAAUCCAUGCAAAUAUCUAUCAUUGUAUGAGCUGAUUGCGUGGAGGGAGCGGUAAUUGAAAUCUAAUUGAAAACAGCAGAAGGCUGUUCUUGACAGAUCUCAAAUAUAUUACGGACACGUUGGGAGACAUCUCUAUCAUAGAUAUCCCCAUGCAGUGAUAUUUGUCGUGAUCUAAUUUUUAGUAAAUCUGUAAGAGAGAUUGUAACAUCUUUCAAGUUUUUGGUUUGAUAUUCUGGACGAAAACAGUUUGCCGUUUCUUGAGCAAACGGCUAACCGUUUAAGUCCAGAGACCAUAUUUGCUGUUCUAGAGAAAACGGCUCACCGUUAUUGAGAAAACGGCUAACCGUUUAUUUACAGAGAGCAACGUAUUUAAUAUUCUGGAAUAAAACGGCUCACCGUUUAUUGAGAAAACGCCUAACCGUUUAUUUUCGGAAAGGCGUCAAUUAGAAAAACGGUUAGCAAGAAUGAAAAUUUCAAUUGACAAUCGAUGCAAAUUCAAACCAAAAGAGUGUCUUCGAAGAAGUACCAUUUCUAAUGGUUGUAUUCCUUCAAAUAAACAUCUUCUUCAUUAAAGAAAUACACACAAUUAGAUAGAUAAUCAGAUUUUGACAGGUUUCUUAUAUGUUCUGGAAAUACAAUCUUAUUUGCUAGAGAUUGUAUUCAAGAUUUGUUAUAUCUUGGGGGUAAUUUGCCAUUAAAACUAUAUAGCAAACCAAGAUUGGUGAGGGCAAAUAAAACCUUAAAGGAAAGUAUGCAAACACGUCUCAAAUCCUAUGAAACUUUCUUUGUUCUUUGCCUCCAUAUUCUUAUUAUUCACUAACAAAAUCCCCAUGCAGUGAUAUUUGUCGUGAUCUAAUUAUUAGAAAAAUCUAUGAUUUCGCUACUGUAAUAAAAUUUGUCACUACUCUACAUUAAUCUAAAUGUCUGAUGAGAUUUGUAAUUGCUUCCGACGGGAAAACAGUUAAUAGGUUGAUUGAAUAUAUGUGGUAAAGAUUCCACGUAUCUCACGACAGAAUGCUGACCACUGGAACCCUAUCUACUUUUACGCGAUUAAUUCACGAGCUUAGGCACGACAAUUGCAAUACAAAUUAUCCCCUCAUCAUAUAUUUCGUUAAAAUUCAUUCUGAAGCAGUAAAACUAAACAAUCGAAUAUGGCUUUGAGGGUCGAUGAUGCCAGCAGCAAUGAGAGUGCAAUUAUCACUUGUUUAGUUUCUGUGCUUGCCGUGGCUUAUUUCGCAUGGAAUGUGAAAAAAUCAAGGAAAGCAAAUGCUAAACUGCCACCAGGACCUCGCGGCUUGCCUGUAGUCGGAUACCUCCCAUUUGUCGGGACUACUGACUUGCACAAGAAAUUCACGGAAUUUAUUUUACUAUUAUAUUUAUAUUCAAAAUAAUUUUAAUUAGCUUUUAAAAUUAAUGAUUUUAGGAAAUUAUAAAUAAAGGUAACUAAGAAUUCUCUUAAUGUAAUAUAUUAUUAAUUAGUUUAAAAAUACAAAUUUAUUAAUUAGAGAAAUUAUUAGUGAAUUUAAAUUAAUGAUCUUAAUGAUUUGUUUGUACGAUUGCCCCCAAUCAAAGGUAAUUUUCCUAAAAAUUAUUAGGAAAUUAGAGAAAUUUAAUUUUUUAGUGGGUUCAAUUGCCCACACACCCCGACUGAAGCAUGUUUUACAAUAUGUACUCCGUUUGUCGGCAGGAAAAUAAAGGUCUUGACACAUGAUCACUUCAUUCCUUUAUUUACUUUGCUAACGCAGAUUUUGAGGUAUUAAAACAAAUAAUAAUUGAAUAUGACUUUGUGGGUCGACGACGCCAGCAACGAGGAGACCGCCAAUUAUCACAUUUUAAGUUUGCUGUAAUUGCCGUUGUUUUAUAUUAGUAGAAUAUUAGUGAUAAGAUAAUUGUGGAGUUUUCAUUUUUUUUAAUAUUAAAAUCAAGUCAAUUUAUUAUAAUAAAUUUAGUUGAAUUUAAUCAUAUUACCACAUAAAUUGAAUAAUAAUAGAAUUCUCGACAAUAUUUCAAUAUUUUAAUCUCAAGCAUUGGAGUGGCAUUUAUUUGUUAUACGGUCGAUUUUAGAAUUUAUAAAAUUAUUCGUUGCUGAAUUGCACCAUAUGCUGCAUCACCUGGAACUUAAUAAACGGAACGUAGCGUUGGCACCGUUACUCAACAUUCACUGUUACGACUUUGUGACAUUAGAAUUAAAAUCUUUUCCACAUUUAAUUUGUUUAUUUCCAAAUUAAUAUUUAACAAAAUGUAUGUUAGCAUUGUAUGCCAUAUCUGAUGGGUGUCGAAGCCAACAAAAAUAAAUUCCUACUCUAAAUAAAUUGUGUAUAGUGAUUGAGCAGGGUCGUGUCCACAGAGAUCGGUAAUUAUUUAAAUCCUUUUGAAACGUAAAACGUAAAAUGGGGGAAUUGUUGACAAUAAUAAAAAUCAAAUUAAAAAUAACAAGAAUGCAAAUUAAAGUUGUAAUUCAAAUUGGAGAAAGCUCUGGUUGAAGGAAUUAACUCAGCUUGAUUCGACUACUGAUCAUUGAUUCAAAUAUAAAUUAUUAUUACUCAUGAAUAGACCGGUUAUAGCUACUGAGACCCUCUAAUAGCCAAUCUCUCCUUAACUAGUCGAUAACCAAGGUACGACCGUUGGUUAUUUCCCUAAUCAAUAGACAACCCUAGAUACGAUCAUAGAAUUUAAUCAAUUGACAGCCUAAAAAACCAGAGAGACCCAAAUCCUAAUCAACACAUAUGAUGAUUCAUUUAAAUUAGAUUGUUUAUUCUCACAACACAACUCUCUGCUAUGUUAUUUGUCACAAACAUUAAAUUCUUUAUACGAUGAAUCCUUUAAUUGACAAUAGAUUAAGUUGAUAAUAAAAUAGUGGCCAAUUACCUAAUUAACAAACAUAAUCAUGAAAAUAAUUCAGAGAAUAAACAAAUACCCAAAAAGUAAUAAAACAAUUAAAGCACAAGAAAGAUCUCACAGUAGUGAUGAAUCAAAGCUUCAUUAACCUUCAACCAGAAAAAUGGGUUUAGUUCCUCAUAGAGAGAAGAGAAAAAUUAGAUCUAGGGUUUUUUUUUUCUCCAAUCCAAAAAUCCCCCCUUUUUCACAAUUGAUUCCUCCCUUAAAUACUCUCUCUCUCUUCUCUUUUAGAGUUCUAUUUAAAAUAAAAUACUAAUAUCUAAAAUAUUAAAUUCGUAAUUACAAAAAUAGCCAAAAAUAUAAAACACGUUAAACUAAAAACUGCAGGUCCGCAAUUGACAGCACGCGCCCACGCCUUAUCAACAAAGUUCUUCUGCCGCUCAUAAUUUUCUCCAAGGGAACAAUCAUCCCUAAACAUCAUCUUGUAGCUCAAUUUUAUCACCAAUCAAUAGAAUUGCACCUACAAAAGUAAAUCACAGGUAAAUCACUAUUAUUAAAUGCAAAACAUCGAUAUUAAGGGAAGUAAACAAUGCAAAACUAGUGCAUAAAUUACACUCUAACAAAUUCCCCCACACCAAGAUGAUGCUUGUCCUCAAGCAUAUAACUCAAGAUUAAUCUCAAAUUUCCACUCAAUUCUCAUCUCAACUCAUCCAAAAACAAUUUUAAGCAAGCAUACCUCAAGAAAUUAAGUCGUUCAACGUUCGAGAGACAAGGAUUUUAAAGCAUAGAAUUUCGUAAGAUAGAAUAAGAACAUUCAACCACCAAGAAGAUCCAUUCAAAACUCAAGUGCAGCAAGAUUUAAUAGCCCUCUCAAUAACUUCACUCCAUGCACUCAAAGUGUUUAGGGUGUCAUUUAUCCACUCAAAUCAAAUCAAAGAAUGCUAUUACCAUAAGCUUGCUCAUAUAUCACAUCUCAAUUAGAGAUGGCAAAACCCCGGGCCGGGUCCGGGUAUUGCCAUGACCGGACCCUGCCCGGAUGCAACCGGUCCGGGUCCGGGUCCGGGCCGGGUUUUAAUCCGGGUACCCGGAUUUUAUAUUUUUUAAUAUUUUAUGUGUAUAUAUUUUUUAUUUUUUGAUAAUUUUAUAAGUUUUAAAUUUAUUUCAAUAAAAUUUGACAUGAAAAUAUAAACUUUAAGUGUUUAAAACUUUAUAUAUGUAUAAUAAAUAAGUCAAAUAAAUAUAAAAUAUUUAAAAAAAUAUAUAUUUUAUAAUUUUUUUUAAUAAAAUCCGGGUUCCGGGUACGGUCCGGGUCCGGACCGGGCGGGUAUUUUUGCCACCUCUAAUCUCAAUCCACAAAACAUGAAUAAAAUGCAAAAAUCUAAGGGUCUUAAAAGGGUUGUAAUGGGGUUAAAUUGGAGAAAUGAAAAAGAAAGGUUUAUGAAAGAAAAAGAGAUCAAAAUGAGAAGAAUGAACUCAUUGAAUGAACUUAUGAUAUCAAAAUGCUUAUUUCUACUCAAGUCACCAAGAAUGUAAAUUUUUUUUUUUCGAUUUUUCUUUUUCUUUUUCUUUCUUUUUUUUUUUUGAUGAAUCAAACAAAAGAAACGAACCUUGCACAAUUUAAUUCAAGCAUAAUGCUUGUUGAUCUAAUUGAGAAACUUUAAUACAAGGUAGAAAAAGCAACAAAAUAUAUCCACACAAUGAGUCCAAAAAUCUCCUUAAAUUGAGGCUCAAAAAGAAGAAAAAUGGUUAAGUCGACGGAGAGAAUUAGAUGGGUAAUGGUUAAGGCUCAAACAAAGGUAGCAAAUAAAGGUCUUCGGGUAGAGAAGGAAAAAAAAAAUGCGAGAAUAGAAAAAUGGAAUAUGGUUUGCCCUUAUCAUUUUAAUGCAUAAAAUCUCGUAAUGUGGCUUCAACAUGCAUAACAAAGCAAGUUCUAGAAUAAACAAACUAGGAUUGAUAUUCACAUAACAAAAAUAAUUAGAGCAAAGUGGUUGCUCAUAGGCUCAAAUCCUCACAAAGUUGGUAAAUUUGCCAUCAAAUCAUGUACACUCUUCAAAUGAAUCAACCAUCAAUAGUGGUGUAGAAUGAGAAGAAGGUAUGAGUGAGAUAUAAAAGGAAAGGUAAAAAUGAUAAGAAGUGAGAAAUAUGUAUGUAGUAAUAUGAAAAGUGAAAGAUAAAAUGUGAGUGAUGAAAGAGUAUGAUAGAAUAAAAAUAGAUGUAAAUAAUUUGAGAUAGAUGGGAAAAGAGUAGUGAGAGAGAGAGGAAAAGAAAAUUAAUAAUAUAUGAAGCAUACUGCCAAAAUCAUUUAAGGAUGAGUAGAGUGAAAACAAUAAUUCCAGACAUCAAUAAUGCAAAAAUCCCUCCCCCACACUAAGAACUGACAUUGUCCCCAAUGUAAGAUAAUCAAAGCUCACAUAAAAAUUAAAGCGUAAGGAUAAAAGAUUAAGGGCAAAAACUUCCCUGAAUUGUGAGCUUUGAUCCUCAUAACGUCUAUGGGCUUGGCGGGAAUGGUGGGAUAAAUCCCACACUCUUGAAGUAUGCGGCCAAAUUCUGCUCCAUCUUGUCACGGAUUUCGAUUCACGGGCCUGGAAUGCAGGUCGUAGGCUGGUUGCGUUGCGAUUGCUGCUCGGCUGGAGCUUGCUUGAUGGACGCGGGAUGGCACUGAUUGUGUUGCGCGCGCGCGCUGGGGCUGCUGGAUCUGCGCGCUGCGUGGGCUGUGUUGUGCGCGAGAGCUGGGCUGACGCUGGUGCUGCGUUGCGUUGCGCGCGCGGGACUGAUGCGCUGCGUGAUGGUGAUGGCUAGAGCUUGCUGCGUUGCGCGCGGCUGGUUUCGCUGGUGGGACUUCGUUGCGCGCUGCUGGGCUGCGAGACACGGGAUGCUGGUGCUUGCGCUCACGGGAUGGUGCGUAUUCCGGCGGGCUGGUUUGCUGCUGGUGUGCUGCAAGCGGCUGGAGAAGAAAACAAGUUCUAGAAAAUUAGGGAUUUUGUGAACAGUGAAUAGUGAACAGUGAUUUUCGAUUUUUGGUUUUUUUUAUAAUAAAUAAAUAAAUAAAAAGAAAGAAAGGAACGAAAAAAGAAAAAUUUUUUUUUUUUUUUUUUAGUGAUGAAUCACUUUGAGACACUAAAAAUUUCAGAAGUACUUUUCUAAUAAGUACAUGGGCACGCCUUAUAAAAAAUUUUCUUCUGACCAAAAUAAGCAAACACAUUAAAUUUCAGAAGUACUUUUCUAUUAAGUACGUGGGCACGCCUUAAAACUAUGUUACUUUAAAAAUUACAGAAGUACUUAUUAGCUAAGACGUGGGCACGCCUUAUCAAAAAUUUUCUUCUGACCAAAAUAAGCAAAAUUUUUCUUUUUUUUUCUUUUUUUUUUGAAUCAAAAUUAAAAGAAGAUAUAACAAAAACCAAAACAAACAAAUCAUUUGGGUUGCCUCCCAAAAAAACGCCUUUGUUUUAUGUCUUUGGCUAGACACAUUUAUGCAUCAAUCUCCAUAAUUGGGACUCUCGAGAGCCACAUCCUCCACAAUAUUCACCGAAAAACCUUCAUAAAAAGGUUUUAAGCGAUGACCAUUAACCUUAAAAACUUUGUCAGAGGUCGGGCUCCGAAUCUCAACUGCACCAUAAGGAAAAACAUUAGUAACAAUAAAAGGUCCAACCCAGCAAGAUCGUAAUUUACCCGGAAAAAGUUUAAGCUUAGAAUGAAAAAGAAGAACUUUUUGACCAACAGAGAACUCUUUUCUCAAAAUCAUUCUAUCAUGAAAUGUCUUCGUUUUUUCCUUGUAACAAACUUCCUGCACUAUAGGGUUAAUAACAUCCACAGAAAAUACUGAAUGUUCCUCACUAGGAUAUUUCAUGGCAUCAUUCAUAUUGAAUUCUAUAACCUCUCCAUCAAAUUCCAUAGUGAGAGUCCCUUUAUGUAUAUCCAUUUUAGUCCUAGCAGUCUUAAGAAAAGGUCUUCCUAGCAAAAUUGGGAUAGAAUUAGAGGAGUUAUCAUCUUCCAUAUCAAGUACAUAAAAAUCAGCAGGAAAAACCAACUCAUUAACUUGUACUAAGACAUCUUCUAAUACCCCAUCAGGAUAUGCAUUAGACCUAUCAGCUAGUUGAAUUAUCACACCAGUUUCUUUUAAUGGACCAAUAUUCAAAGAUGAAUAAAUGGAACGAGGCAUAACAUUAAUAGAAGCUCCUAGAUCUAACAAAGCCUUUUCAACUCUAACACUACCAAUUUUACAAGGGAUAGUAAACAUACCUGGAUCCUUGCACUUAGGAGGUAGUUUCUUUUGAAGAACUGCUGAAACAUUCUCCCCCAUGUGAACUUUUUCAUCUCCUCUUAAUUUUCUCUUGGAGGUGCACAGUUCCUUAAGGACUUUAGCAUAUCGAGGUAUUUGUUUUAUAGCAUCUAAUAAAGGAAUAUUUAUCUCAACCUUGCGAAAUGUCUCAAGGAUGUCUUUCUCUUGUUCCUCCUUCUUGGAUUUUGCAAAUCGGCUUGGAAAAGGAGGAGGUAUCACAAUAGGUAGGGGUUUCGCUUUGGUGGGUUGCGCAUCUUGAGAUUUAGGCAUCAAUUCAUUCUUCUCAAGCUCAUCCUCUACAUGCUUUGUCACUUUCUUACUAGGCUCUUGCAACUCCGUCCCACUUCUAAGGAUGACAGCACUAACGUUUUGCUUUGGAUUCACCUCAGAUUGUGAAGGCAAUCUUCCUAAUACUUGAGACUCCAGGCUUACUGUAGUCGCCAAUUGACUCAUUUGGUUCUCCAAGUUCUGAAUGCUUACUGUAGUUGCCUGCUGAAAUUGUUGAGUGUUAGUUGCAAGUGAUUUAACAAUUUCUUCAAGAGAUAUACCUGACUUAGAGUUUGACUGUGGAGGUGUUGGUUGUCUUGGUGGAUACUGUUGUGGGAAUCCUGACGGCCUAACUCCAUAGCUGAAGUUGGGAUGAUCCUUCCAUCCCGGAUUGUAUGUUUGUGCAUAAGGAUCAUACCUCCUCUGAGGCAUGCCUGGAAAUCCUCCAACUGCAUUGGCUUGUUCAGCGGGUUCUUCUUGAAGUGUAGGACACAUAUCAGUUGAAUGACCCAUAUUGUAACAAAUGCCACAAGUCUUCACCUGUUGCACAUUACCUACAACAAACUUUUCCACAAGAGAAGUGAGUUUAUCUAAACGUUGUUCAACAGAAGAAAUAUUUACCUCAUUCACAUUCCUUAAGGUGGCAUCUUGUCUGCUGCCAAAUUGUUGUGCAUUGGCAGCCAUAUUUGAUAUCAACUCCCUUGCUUGAGUAGGAGUCUUGUUCACCAACACACCUCCACUAGCAGCAUCUAUCAUACUCCUAUCCAUCAAUGAUGGUCCUUCGUAAAAAUAUUGAAUAAGAAGUUGAUCAGAAAUCUGAUGCUGAGGACAACUGGCACACAAUUGUUUGAAUCGCUCCCAAUACUCAUACAAAGUCUCCCCAGGAAGUUGUCUGAUCCCACAAAUAUCUUUUCUGAUGUUGGCAGCUCUUGAAGCAGGAAAGUACUUCUCGAGGAACUGCUUCUUCAAACCAUUCCACGUUGUAAUCGAUCCAGGAGGCAAGUAGUACAACCAAUCUUUAGCUAGCCCAUCUACAGAGAACGGAAAAGCACGCAGCUUAAUCUGCUCUUCAGUCACGCCUUGUGGCCUCAUACUUGAGCACACAACAUGAAACUCCUUGAGAUGUUUAUGAGGAUCUUCACCUCCAAGUCUACAUAUUGAAUGCAGAGUGGUUGUUGAUUCAAGUCUGGUUCAGCUAACUCUCUAAGAGUUCUUUCUACAGGUGCAAGUCUAUCCAUCACUUGUUCUUCUGAAUCGCUAGAUGAUUCAACUAAAUCAGGCACUGUAUCUGUUUUAGAAAGCAAAGGCGACGAGGAUCGUUGCUUAGCUCGCUUUGUCUGCUGUCUCAGCUGGCGAGCUGUCUUCUCAAUUUCAGGAUCAAACGAAAGUGUACCUGUACGAGAAGAACGAACCGUACACCAAGUAAAACGUAAAAAGGAUUAAAUAAAUGACACCAAUCCCCGGCAACGGCGCCAAAAUUUGAUGGGUGUCGAAGCCAACAAAAAUAAAUUCCUACUCUAAAUAAAUUGUGUAUAGUGAUUGAGCAGGGUCGUGUCCACAGAGAUCGGUAAUUAUUUAAAUCCUUUUGAAACGUAAAACGUAAAAUGGGGGAAUUGUUGACAAUAAUAAAAAUCAAAUUAAAAAUAACAAGAAUGCAAAUUAAAGUUGUAAUUCAAAUUGGAGAAAGCUCUGGUUGAAGGAAUUAACUCAGCUUGAUUCGACUACUGAUCAUUGAUUCAAAUAUAGAUUAUUAUUACUCAUGAAUAGACCGGUUAUAGCUACUGAGACCCUCUAAUAGCCAAUCUCUCCUUAACUAGUCGAUAACCAAGGUACGACCGUUGGUUAUUUCCCUAAUCAAUAGACAACCCUAGAUACGAUCAUAGAAUUUAAUCAAUUGACAGCCUGAAAAACCAGAGAGACCCAAAUCCUAAUCAACACAUAUGAUGAUUCAUUUAAAUUAGAUUGUUUAUUCUCACAACACAACUCUCUGCUAUGUUAUUUGUCACAAACAUUAAAUUCUUUAUACGAUGAAUCCUUUAAUUGACAAUAGAUUAAGUUGAUAAUAAAAUAGUGGCCAAUUACCUAAUUAACAAACAUAAUCAUGAAAAUAAUUCAGAGAAUAAACAAAUAUCCAAAAAGUAAUAAAACAAUUAAAGCACAAGAAAGAUCUCACAGUAGUGAUGAAUCAAAGCUUCAUUAACCUUCAACCAGAAAAAUGGGUUUAGUUCCUCAUAGAGAGAAGAGAAAAAUUAGAUCUAGGGUUUUUUUUUUCUCCAAUCCAAAAAUCCCCCCUUUUUCACAAUUGAUUCCUCCCUUAAAUACUCUCUCUCUCUUCUCUUUUAGAGUUCUAUUUAAAAUAAAAUACUAAUAUCUAAAAUAUUAAAUUCGUAAUUACAAAAAUAGCCAAAAAUAUAAAACACGUUAAACUAAAAACUGCAGGUCCGCAAUUGACAGCACGCGCCCACGCCUUAUCAACAAAGUUCUUCUGCCGCUCAUAAUUUCUUCAAGGGAACAAUCAUCCCUAAACAUCAUCUUGUAGCUCAAUUUUAUCACCAAUCAAUAGAAUUGCACCUACAAAAGUAAAUCACAGGUAAAUCACUAUUAUUAAAUGCAAAACAUCGAUAUUAAGGGAAGUAAACAAUGCAAAACUAGUGCCUAAAUUGCACUCUAACAAUAUCAUCUGUAAUUUUGUCAGGAUCGAUCAUUCUAAUUUUUAAGCAGAACUUUUUGUCAAUGGACAAACACCUCACACAGCUUGUCAGAGUUGUCCAUGCUGGCAACAGCGUNNNNNNNNNNNNNNNNNNNNNNNNNNNNNNNNNNNNNNNNNNNNNNNNNNNNNNNNNNNNNNNNNNNNNNNNNNNNNNNNNNNNNNNNNNNNNNNNNNNNNNNNNNNNNNNNNNNNNNNNNNNNNNNNNNNNNNNNNNNNNNNNNNNNNNNNNNNNNNNNNNNNNNNNNNNNNNNNNNNNNNNNNNNNNNNNNNNNNNNNNNNNNNNNNNNNNNNNNNNNNNNNNNNNNNNNNNNNNNNNNNNNNNNNNNNNNNNNNNNNNNNNNNNNNNNNNNNNNNNNNNNNNNNNNNNNNNNNNNNNNNNNNNNNNNNNNNNNNNNNNNNNNNNNNNNNNNNNNNNNNNNNNNNNNNNNNNNNNNNNNNNNNNNNNNNNNNNNNNNNNNNNNNNNNNNNNNNNNNNNNNNNNNNNNNNNNNNNNNNNNNNNNNNNNNNNNNNNNNNNNNNNNNNNNNNNNNNNNNNNNNNNNNNNNNNNNNNNNNNNNNNNNNNNNNNNNNNNNNNNNNNNNNNNNNNNNNNNNNNNNNNNNNNNNNNNNNNAGGCAUUAUUAUGAUGGAAAACUGCAAUGGUAUAUCUUGAUUAUUGGUAGAAUAGUGAAUAACUAUUUGGAGCAAUAAAAACAAAUAAGACAGAUGAGAAAAUGGCUAAAAUUAUAUAAGUGACCCAAAAGUUUUUACUAUUUCCAAGAAAUCCCCAAUCUGAAUGUACCAGAGGGAGGCAAGUUAGGAAUACAUUUCCUUCAUAGACAAUAACAACGAUGAGUGGAUGACAUCAAGCCACGUUGGUAUCAAUAUUGAAAUAAAGGUGCAAUUAUUCAGCCAAUGAGCCUUAGUACACAUCAAGAUAUAUAAAAGUCAAGAAAAUGAAAAUGUAUCCCAAUUAAAACUCUUUCUGGCUGCAUUUAGCUAUUUUUGUUUAGAGAUGGUAAUUUAAUCCGGACUCAGUCCGGACCCGGAUGAACUCAGAAAAUUUGGGUUGGAUUCAACCCGUACCGGAGUGAAUAAAAUUUGAUAUCCGAAUUCAAUAUUUUCAACCCGGAUGUUUCCGGAUCCAGAUCCAGCUUUGGGUAAACCCGCAUAUCUGAACCCGGAUCCGGAUAACUAUUUUAAUAUUAAUUUUUAAAUCAUUUUAAAAUAAAAAAAAAUUAGAAAAAAUCAGCCCUAAUGCCCUUCCACAGCCACGGCAGCCAAACCAAACCCAGACCUUUCCUCUCUCUCUCUUUAGCCCUUCUUUUCAACAAAUCAUCAUCGUUGCUCAUCAUCGUUUCGUCGUGUUCAUCUUCAUCUUCAUCAUCAGCUGCCGUUUGUCCAGCUAUGUCACGAGUUUUGGCCGCCGUUUCCGUUUGUCCACCUUCGCAAAUCGGGAUCUCGAUUUGGCCGCCAACACUUCUACCCCCUGGUGUUUUGCUUUGUCCUCGACAACUUCUUUGUUGAUAAAUUGACGGGCACUUAUGAAUGCGUUUGUCUCUGUUUCUUCAUUUACACCUUCCCAGUUGUUUGUUCAUUUGCUUUUUGGAAGGAAAAAAAAAAAUCAGCCGCCAUUUAUCCUUCCCCUUUUCUUGACCUAACCCCACAAAGCCCAAUUUGUCAUCAUCAUUCAUUGGCAAAUUUGUCAUCAUCAUGGUUGAGACAUCAUGAUUAUCUUUGAUAAUUGAAUUUGUGUAAUAUGUUAUCUUGGAUUUUAUUUCUAAGUAAUUGAUUUUGAAUUAUUUUCCAUUAUUGGUGUUAAUAGAUAGAAGAUUAGAAAGGAAUUCUUCACUGAAGAAAGAGAUGGGAAAUUGCAUCUUUUAGCAAUCAUCCGGGUUAUAAACCCGGAAUCCGGAAAUCCGGAUUUUUCCGGGUUUAACCCGGUCCGGACCCGUAUGAAAAAUAUCCGGAUUUACAUCCGGAUCCGGUAUUAAAAUUUAUCAUCCGGAUCCGAAACCGGGAAGAAAAAACCCGGACCCAGACCCGCAUUUUGCCAUCCCUAUUUCCAUUUGAAGUUAACAACAACGUUUCUUUCGUUUUGUGGGCGACUCGACUGAGCCAGCUGGAUUCUAGUGCUAGUAUGUGAAAAUAGAAGGCUAAUGAUUUCACGUUCACUAGCCCACCUCCCCUCCUCUCGUUUCCUCUGAAUCAAUUUUCACGUGUGGUACCGAUUGAAAAUAUCUCUGAUAUUUCGUGGACAUCUCUAUUGAAAAUAUCUCUGACAUUUCACUCAGGCAAACUUAUUAAUAUAAAAAAUCUAUGAUUUUUUCGUCUUAUACUGUAGAAAAAUUUGUCUAUACAUUAAUCUAGAUGUUUGAGGUGGUUUAUACACCUGUGGUAUAGAUUUAUAGGUUGAUUGAUACGUCUGUGGUAUAGAUUUUAUGUAUUUCAUUAUCAAAUGCUGGCCUUUGGGACCCUAUCUACAUCUAUUUAUAAGACUAACGGGUGCCAGUUAUGCCAUUACAAAUUAUCCCCUCUUCAUACAUUUCGUUAAAAUUCUUCUGAAACACCAAAACUAAAUAAUCGAAUAUGGCUUUGCGGGUCGAUGAUGCCAGCAACAAUGAGGCUGCAAUUAUCACUUGUUUAGUUUCUAUGCUUGCCGUGGUUUAUUUCGCAUGGAAUGUGAACAAAUCAAGGAAAGCAAAUGCUAAACUGCCACCAGGACCUCGCGGCUUGCCUGUAGUCGGAUACCUCCCAUUUCUCGGAACUACUGACUUGCACAAGAAAUUCACGGAAUUAUCCGGAGUUUAUGGUCCGAUCUUCAAGCUCUGGCUCGGAAAUAAAUUAUGUGUCGUGGUGAGCUCACCUUCCCUAGUUAAACAAGUGGUUCGUGAUCAAGAUACAACAUUCGCAGACCGUGACCCGCCGAUCUCUGGACUAGUGACCUCCUUUGGUGGCAAUGAUAUUACAUGGUCCAAUUACGGUCCCGAAUGGAGAAAGUUGCGCAAAUUUUUUGUGGGCAAGAUGAUGAGUAACGCAAGCCUUGAUGCUUGUUAUGCUUUAAGAAAACAUGAGGUUAAAAAUACUAUCAGGGAUUUGUAUAACAACGGCAACAAAAUUGGUAAGCCCAUUGACAUUGGUGAAUUGUCGAUUGCAACAUUGGUAUGUGCUAUGCAGAACAUGCUGUGGGGUGAAGCGCUUGAAUUAAAAGAGAAAGGGACAACUAAUCUUGGGGUUGAGCUAAAAUUUAAGUUUGCAGAACUCAUGGUGCUACUGGGAACACCGAAUAUUUCGGAUAUCUUUCCAAUGCUUUCUUGGCUCGACAUACAAGGUAUAGAGAGGAGAGCAAAGAAGAUUUCACUCUGGUUUGAAAAAAUUAUAAAUUCUACUGUUGAAAAGUAUAGAAGCAAGGACUUUAAUGUUGAAGGUAAAGAAAGAGCAGGGGAAAAUUUUGAAGGAUCAAGGAACAAGAACUUCUUGCAGUUACUAUUGGAGCUUCAAGAAAAUGAAGACGGUUCUUCCUCAAUUAGCAUGAACCAAUUUAAGGCCGUACUCGUGGUAUGUUAGGAAACUAGCCGCAAACAGUUAUACAAGCACAGCUGUAUAUUUUGCAUGAGUGAUAUUUUCAACCUUUUUUUUUAUAAUUAGAAUUUUAUUGUAACCUUUUGGACAGGAUAUAAUUACGGCUGGAACCGACACCACAACUACGAUGGUGGAAUGGACAAUGGCAGAGUUGAUGCAGCAUCCACAAAUAAUGAAGAAAGUUCAGGAAGAAUUAGCUCAAGUUGUGGGCAUGGACAGUUGUGUUGAAGAAUUUCAUUUGCCUAAAUUGAAAUAUUUAGAUGCUGUGGUGAAAGAAUCGUCUCGUCUGCAUCCUGCAGUGCCUUUAUUACUACCACGCAGAGCAAGCGAGAGUGGCAGCAUUGGUGGCUAUAACAUUCCCAAAGAUACAACUAUUAUGUUGAAUGUUUGGGAAAUCCACAGGGACCCUAAACUUUGGGAUAAUCCCUUACAAUUUCGACCCGAGAGGUUUCUAGAUGAUGGUAUCGCGAGUAAGUUCGAUUACUCAGGUAACAAUUUUCAGUACUUGCCAUUUGGUUCUGGUAGAAGGAUGUGUGCUGGGAUUCCUCUAGCUGAGAGGAUGCUGAUGUUUGUUUUGGCUUCGUUAUUGCACUCAUUUGAGUGGGAAUUGCCAGCUGGCACAAAGCUAAACUUAUCUGAAAAAUUUGGGAUUGUCAUUAAGAAAAAAGAGCCUUUGGUUGCUAUUCCAACACCAAGACUAUCCAAUUCAGAACUCUACCAUUAAGACAGAAUGGUUGUGAUGAUUUUGUUAAUUUCCGAAGAUUUGUAUGUUAUGUCAAGUUCAAUCGUAAUAAAAUAUUUCAAAUAAGAGUCCUCCGUUGCUUCUUUUUAUUUUUUCAACCGCAGAAUCUGUCGUCAUGCUUGUAUUUGGAGCUACUUUGGAAUAAUUAUGUUUGAAUUACAAUUUAUAAAUAUUACAUUUUAAAAUUUUAUGAGAUUCUAAAUUUAUACACGUUCAAUAACCCACUUUUAACACAAUUUAUAUCAUACAUUGUACACCCAUUUGUCAUAAAUUACGCUAUUUUAUAUCUCUAAAUAAUAUUACAUAUUGAUAUUAUAAAAUGUUAACUCACGUGUGUAUAUAUAUAUAGCAAGUCACGUGCAUAUAUUAUUGGUUGUUAUAUGUUUGCUAGUUUGAUAGGAUUUCCUUUCCUUGUGAACCAGGGUAAUUCUUAUGUACAUAUAAAUAUUGAUCAAUAAGAGUGCAGAUGAUGAUGACUGCAGUUUUGCAUCGUGAAAUUCUUCAUAAAAUAUAUAUGUUUAUCAAAACGCUAUACCAUGCAAUAUAUAUUGGAAAGAGAACAAAGAAGAUUUUCUUAUGGUUUGAAAAUAUUAUGAAUUCUGCUGUUGAACAGUAUGGAAACAAGGUCUGUUGUUAAAGGUGAAGAAGUCACAGGGAACAAUAUUGAAGGAAGAAAUUUCACGUUUAGUUGCUGAAUUUGCCGCUGUAUUCUAUCGGUAGUAAAAAGAUUAGAGUUUUUAUUUUUCUCUAUUAAUGUUAAGUAAAUUUUCUAUAACAAAUUCGGUUGAGUUUAAUUGUGUUACAAUAUAAAUUGAAUGAUAGUAGAAUUUUCAACGAAUAAUUCAAUAUUUCUAUCUCGAUUGUUGAAGUGCCAUUUAUUUGUUAUACGAUCGAUUUUAAAAUUUAUAAAAUUAUUUGUUACUAAAUUGCAUCAUAUGCUAAAUCACCUGAAACCUAAUUCCAUAACUAACCCUUUAUUUUUAGUUCUCAAGAAAUCUUGUAAGAACAAAAUUCUUUUGUAACAAAACGUUUACAACAAAUUAAUUUGUAACUCAUUCCUGUGCGAGAAUCGCUCUCAAUUUCCUUCAAUUUCUGUUUAACAAUCAUCUGCUUAUCAAAAUUCAAGCAUAAUCCUUUUUUUUUUUAAUUUCUUCAUCAUUCUUUUGAAAAAAAAAAUCAGGAUGUGCUGUUAAAUUUUGAAAUAAAUUAUCUCAAAAUAAUUACUAACCAGAAAAAACAAAGGGGUUUAACUAGGUUAUGCAUACCUUUGAAAAUUAUAUGUUGAUCGAUAAGAAUGAUGAUCACGAUUGACGAGUUUAAUUAAAAUAUAUAAGAUUUUAAAAUUAAUCAGGGUUAAAUUGUGAAUUUUAGAAAGAGAGGUUUUGUGAGAAUGUUGAAAGGGUGUUAAUAGUUCCACUCUUUUUAAAAACAACCAUAGUCAUCAUUUUUCCAUGGUUGUUUUUAAAAAGAGUAUUUCUUCUUCCCAUCUCCAUCUUAUUUAGAAAUUUCCCUGAGCCUUUGUUUCCCACCUUUCAUUUUUCUUCUUUCUAAUUUAAUAAUCUACCCUUCCUGUAUUCAAACUAAAAAAUUUAAAUCUGAAAAUUUAAAACCCAAUAUUAUAGUAUUAUAAAAAUAAUUACUCACAUUUUAUCAAACACCUCCAUUCUUCCAAGGCCUUGUUUUAGUAGUAGGCUUUUAUUAUCUCAAUAAAAUUGAAAAAAAAUCUCAAUAAUAUUGGAAAAAAACCCUACCAAUAUUUGUAACUUUAAUUUAUUAUUCUCCAUAGACCUACUUUUUAGUUUUGAAUUUUGUUGGAGCCAUAUAUAAACAGAAUAUGUUGAAAUCAGCACCCAAAAAAAAAAAAAAACUAAUUAUAUAAUUUAUGUUCCCAAGGACAUGGCUGAGUGAUUUUCAAGAAGUUUUGUUUGGCUGGCCACUUAGGUUUAAAUCUUGGUGGAGAUUAAGGGUUAAGAAAUAAAUUUAGACUUUGCACACCCCUUUAACUUUUAAAAAGAAAUGAAAAAAUUAAUUAAUUAAUCUUUAUUUUAUUUAUUAAAUGUCAUAAUCCUAUGCGUAUUUUAUUUGUUAUCUUUCUAUUUAAAAGACGAGGGCAGAUAAAACUGAAAUAAAUUUUUAGCCCUAUCUCCAUAUUUCAAGUUCCAUAGUUAGGUGACCAGCUAAAAAAAAUUAAUUGAAAGCUACUCCAUCAAAUUAAAAAAAUUUAUUUAUUUAAUUUGUGGAGAUGUAGAAAAUCAAACCCCAUACCUUUUCGCAUACACUGAACAUAUUUUAAUACAUGACUAUCAUCCUUUGUCCUAAAUACUACUAUAACUAAUAACAUACAAUUGAAAUAAUUAAUAUUAACACUUGGCUAUAAGUAAAGGUUUUGUGCUUGAAUCUUCACGCAUGACCUUCAUUCCUUUAUUGACUUUGCUAACACAGAUUUUAAGGCAUUAAAACUAAAUAAUAAUUGACUUUGUGGGCCGAGGAUGCCAGCAACAAGGAGACCACAAUUAUCACUUGUUAAGUUACUCUAAUUGCCGUUGUCUUAUAUUCAUAGAAUAUUAGUAAUAAGAUUAUUGUAGAAUUUUUUUAAUAUUAAAAUUAAGUCAAUUUGUUAUAACAAAUUUAGUUGAGUUUAAUCGUGUUACUACAUAAAUUGAAUAAUAAUAGAAUUCUCGACAAAUAUUUCAACAUUUUUAUCCCAAGCGUUGGAGUGGCAUUUAUUUGUUAUACGAUCGAUUUUAGAACUUAUAAAAUUAUUCGUUACUCAAUUGCACCAUAUGCUGCAUGACCUGAAACUUAAUAAACGGAAUGUAGCGUUGGCACCGUUACUCUACAUACUGUUACGACUUUGUGACAUUAGAAUUAAAAUCUUCUGCACAUUUAAUUUGUUUCCUUCCAAAUUAAUAUUUAACAAAAUAUUUUUUCACAUUAUCAAUGGACAAAACUCCAACAAAAAUAACUACACAAGAAAAAUGUAUGCUAGUAUUGUGUGCCAUAUCAUCUGUAAUUUUGUCAGGAUCGAUCAUUCUAAUUUUUAAGCAGAACUUUUUAUCAAUGGACAAACACCUCACACAGCUUGUCAGAGGCAUUAUUAUGAUGGAAAACUGUAAUGGUAUAUCUUGAAUUAUUGGUAGAUUAGUUCUUUGGAGCAAUAAAAACAGAUAAGACAGAUGAGAAAAUUGUCAAUACCCCACCACAAAAGCAAAAGAAAAAAAGGAAAGGAGACAAAAGAGGAAGACGAAAAAAAGGCAAGGAGACAAAAGAGGAAGAAGAAAAAAAGGAAAGGAGACAAAAGAACGAAGAAAAAAAUGGUGCCGCGCUGUAUUGGGAAGAAGAAAAAAAAUUAAUAAAAUAAUAAUAAAUAAUAAUAAUAAAAUAAUAGUGCACAGUAGUCAUUUGAUUGCUAUAAAUAAAGGGGCAUUUCCCUCAUUUUAUUCAUCGAAUUCUUCAGUUCCUUUCAAGCGAUUUAAGAGUCUAGUGAUUUGAGAGUUUGGGUGUAUUAUGAUUUUGAGUACUAAGUUAAAAUACUAUAAUACUUGUAACUCAUUUUCACUAGUAAAAUAUUUUUCUUCUGUCUUCGCCCGUAGACGUAGACUAAAAGCCGAACCACGUAAUUUUUGGUGUCCCUAUGUGAUUAUGUGUCUCAUUAUUUCUCAAUUUUACUUUAGUUACGUGUCUGCUACACCCUUCAAUUUACUAACAAAAAUGGCCAAAAUUAUAUAAGUGACCCAAUUUUUUUUGCUAUUUCCAAGAAAUCCCCAAUCUGAAUAGACCAAACUAGAGGGAGGCAAGUUAGAAAUACGUUUCCUUCAUAGACAAUAACAGCGAUGAGUCGAUGACAUUGAGCCAUGUUGGUAUCAAUAUUGAAUUAAAGGUGCAAUUAUUCAGCCAAUGAGCCUUACACAUCAAGAUAAAAGUCAAGAAAAUGAAAAUUUAUCCUAAUUAAAACACUUUCUGGCUGCAUUUAGCUGUUUCUAUUUGAAGUUAAAAACAACAUUUCUUUCGUUUUGUGGGCAACUCAACUGAGUUCGCUGGCUUCUAGUGCUAGUAUGUGAAAAUAGAAGGCUAAUGAUUUAUUUGUUAUCUUUUGACAAAAAAUGUUAAAGAUAUAAUAGAUUUUCCAUGAUACAAAUGAAAAAUUACAUCAACAUAACUUCCAAGCUACAGCAGCUAGUGUUUACCAAACACUUUGCUGUAGCUUUUAAGCUACAGCUGCCCAACCUCAAUAGGUUGAUUGAAUUUGUGGGAUAUAGAUUCCACAUAUCUCAUGACCUAUUAAUUAUACAAGUGGUUCUUGAUCAAGAACAACAUUUGCUUCCGACCCAGUGACCCAGCAACCGCUGCACUGGUCGCCACCUAUGGUGCCGACGAUAUUACAUGGUCCAAUUAUGGCCUUGAAUGGAAAAAGUUGAGCAAAUUAUUUGUGGGCACGAUGAUAAGUAACGCAAGCCUUGAUGCUAGUUAUGGUCGAAGAAAACAAGAGGUUAAGAAUACUAUCAGAGAUAUGCAUAACAACAAAAAGGGAAAAAAAAAGGCAUUGGCAAGUCAGUUGAUAUUGUUGAAUUGUCGAUUUCAACUUUAGCAUGUGUAAUUCAGACAUUGCGCAUUGUGGUAUGGUGCUGGCACGCUUGCAUUGCCGAGAGGACAAAUCUUGGGGCUGGGCUAAAAUUUAGGCUUGUAGAACUCAUGGUGCUAAUGGGAACGCCAAAUUUUUUUAACAUAUUUCGGUGCUUUCAUGGUUUAAUUCAAGGUAUAGAAAGGAGUGUUGAGAAUGUCAAAUAAAACGACAUUGAAUGGAAGUUGUCAAAGACAUGAUCCACACUGAACGACAACGACGCGGUUGGUGAAGAUUUUUUUCAUAAUACGCGUAUCUAAUUUUUGAAAAAUUGUAACAUCUGCUUCUAUAAAUUGUUAGCCUAAAGGGCUAUACAUAAUGUAAUUUUGAUGAUAACAAACAUAUGUAUUGAGCGAUUUAAUAAAUAUUGUAUUUCACAUUUUCACUAGUUUUUAAAGGAUAAUAUUUAUGCAAGUGAAUCAAGUGAAAUCAAGAUUGAAGACACUCAACGGACAACAGCGACAUCAAGAAUAGUCUAGAGCUCAACGAACAAAUUAGUGCGAUAAAUUCUUGUAAAGCCGGUAUGAUUUAAUUGAUGUUCGAUUUAGCAUUUGAGAAGCUCAAGAAAUUAAUUUAAUUAAAUACUUUUCAUAAACUAAAAGUUUUUGUUUUUAUAAAGAAAAGUAUUUUGUGAAUUUAAGUAAUUUGGACUUAAAUGCUAAGAUUUGAAAUCUUUGAUUUUAAUAAGAAUUAAAUUUCAGAGUUGGAUGUUUUUACAAAUAUUUUAAAUGUUUUGGGUCAUACUAUAAUUUAUGAAUAUUUUGGACUAAAGUGAAAGGUUUGGAGAACUUUGAAAAAUAUAGGUAUUAUGUUGAAAAGGACCUUUGUGCGAAAUAAUAAAAUCUGUGGGGCCAUAACAUAAUUUCAGAAAGUUUGGGAAAGACAACUAUUCUUGGGAAGUUCUGAAAUUGGACCUAUUUGCAAAGUUUUCUGACAUUUUAGGUUAUAUUAUAAUUAUAGAAAGUGUUGGGCCAAAGUGUAAUUUUAGUGAACAGUGUUACUGUAGCAAAAUUCAAAAAUAGCGGUAAUAUCAUUGUUCCUGAGCGGCGAGCCGGAUAAAUAAGCGGCUAGCCGCUUGGGCGCUGGAAUUUGCCUAUAACGGCUAGUUUUCGGGCUUUCACUAUAAAAACUCAACUCCAACUUCAUUUUAAAGAUGAAUACAAGGAAAAACAAGAUUAUAUAACAUUUAUUGAGCUUCCAUUUCGUAAAUCAUCAUUUGUUGAAUCAUCAUUGAGCUAUAAUUUGUUAUUCACUCUUAAAGAGAGUUUUAUUGUUGUGAAUUUCAUUUCACAUCAAAUUGUGAGUGUACAAGUGUGGGAAACACUUGGGGUGAAGAGAUUGGGGAUAUAAUAUCUUGUUGUAAAGGUUCAUUGACACCUUGGAAGUCAAUUGUAAACAUUUGAAGCCUUGGGAGGCUUGGAUAGUGAAAUCCUCAAGUCGGGUGAGCUUGGAGGCGUGGACGUAGGCGGUGAUAGCCAAACCACGUAAAAAUCCUUGUGUUCGUUUUCUCUUCCCUUACUCUUUUAAUAUUGUACUUGAUUAAAUUUAUUAUUUUUGAUUUGAUUAAGGCGAUAGAUUAAAUUGUUGUGCGAAUUGUAUUGCAUAAAUUUUAAAAUCCCAAUUCACCCCCCCUCUUGGGAUGCAUAACUUGCAUUUCAUAAAUAUGCUCAAUGUAUAAUGUUUUACUUAAGAAAUGAAAAACUUAAUUCUUCAUGGUAUCAGAGCGAGGCUCGUUGCUCUGUUUGUAACAAAAACAAAGAAAACUAAAUUCUUCCCACAACUAUUUUUCCACCAUUUUUUCUUCCUUAAAAGCAUUCCUAGCAUUACAGAAACCCAUGCCAAUAAAAGAACAAGCCACACAUACGUGAAAACUUUAGUUUACAAAUCUAUCAACAACCCCAUAAAUUUUCCCAAAAAGUGAUCUUCAAAAACCAAAAAUACCAUCAAUUUUCGCAGCUUCUAGUAAACAAACUAUAAAAGUUUCGCACUCAAACAGAGCCACACGCGCCUCCACGCGUUUCCCGGAAUCACGGCCAACCACCACGCGCCUCUGUCACCACCAACUCACCCUCACGUGCUCCAGAGGUUACAGAAGACGCAAAACGACGUGUCGUUUUCUUCUCUAGAAGUGCAGCAACUUGGAAAUGACUUGUUGUUUUUGGCUUAAAUUUUUUUUCCUCGUUUGAAGCUAUACAACAUUUUUCUUUCUAAACCUGUUUUUUGCAAUAAAAAAAGAAAAAAAUGGAGAAAACUCCAACUGAAUCUACUCAUGUUGUCAUUCAAUCUGUUCAACCUGAUGGAGUAUUUAAUGCCGGAAUUAUCCUUACUAAGACAAACUACGAUAUUUGAUCUCAAAUAAUGGAGAUGCAUCUCGCAGAAAGAAAAAAACUCUCAUAUAUUCGUAGCAGUAUAAAUCCAUCUGACAAAUUUUCAAAGGAAUAUGAGAAAUGGUAUAGUGAGAACCAAAAAGUAAAAAGAUGGUUACUCAUAACCAUGUGUCCUGAGAUCAUGAAGCGAUAGUUACAAAUUCCUACAGCCUACGAAAUUUAGAAUGUAUUAUCAAAAGCCUUCUAUAAUGGAAGCGAUGAAAUACAAGUUUUCACUCUAAAUCAGAAGGCGUUCUCUACGAAGCAAAAUGGACAACCACUCUCUAAAUUCUACAGAGAAUUGAUCAAAAUAUUUCAAGAACUUAAUCACCGAGAUAAAGUGGUCAUGAAGGAUCCAGAAGAUGUUAGAAUAUACAGAAAGUUUGUUGAAAGAUUGAGAGUGCACAUUUUUCUUGCUGGACUAGAUGAAGAAUUUGACCAAGUUUGUGGAGAAAUUCUAUGAAAAGAUACUAUCCUAGACUUAAAAGAAUGUUAUUCUCUAAUCCGAAAAGAAGAUGUACUGCAAAGCAAACUAACAAGAAGGUAGACGACUCAGAAACGUCUGCUAUGAUACCACAAGAGAACAAUGUUUUGAAAUUGUUGGAUAUCCUGACUGGUGGGAUACUCGAAGUAAUAACACAAAGCAGAGAUAAAAAACUGCAGUAGCUGAAUCCACAUCCACUACAGAUCUUAGAAAAGAAUCUUCAGCGCAAAUUGCAACCUCUGUCAAUUCAGGUAAGGUCCUUAAAACUCUUACAUUUUUUAUUAAUAGUAUAUGGAUAAUUGAUUAUGGUGCAACUGAUCAUAUGACUUUUGAUUCUUGACAAGUUUCUUAAUUGAAACCAUAUUCACAAAAACAUGUUUCUACUGUAAAUAGAACCACAACCUCAGUUAUUGGGGAAAGAUCUUUACAACUCACAAUUAAAUUAAAUUUAGACUCUGUGUUAAUUGUUCCAUCUUUAAAUUAUAAUCUUUUAUAUGUGUCUCAAAUAACCUCUUACUUAUCAUGUGUUGUAAUGUUUUGGCCCGAUCAUUGCAUGUUUAAGGACAUCCAAAUGAAGCAAACGAUUGGUUAUGAUAUUAAAUAAGGCAACUUGUAUUACCUGGAGAUGACAUCAACAAACACUGAAAAGCUAAGCCCUGCAUUAGUAGCAGACAAUUCCAUGAAAAAAAAGAAAAUAAGAAAUUUGGUUAUGGCAUAGACAAUUAGGGCAUGUGUCAUUUGAUUUCUUAAAAAAAUUGUUUCCUAGUUUGUUUCUGAAAUUUGAUAUUUGUAACUUUAAAUAUGAUGUUUGUGAACUUUCAAAUAGCCAUCGAACUACUUUUCCAUUGUCCUUAAAUAAGAAUCCAAUUCCUUUCAUGGUAGUACAUUCUGAUGUAUGGAGACCAUCUAAAGUUUCUACCAUUGGAAGAGCUCGUUGGUUUGUUACAUUUAUUGAUGAUUGUAGCAGAAUGACAUGGAUUUUUUUAUGAAAUUAAAAGACGAAGUAAAAUCUUAAUUUAUUUCGAAGAUUUCAUAUGAUGGUGACAACUCUAUUUCAGACACAAAUUUGAGUUCUACAUACUGAUAAUGGAGGCGAGUAUAUGAGCACAACAAUUCAAUAGUUUUUGAAAUCACAAUGAACUCACCACCAAACCACUUGUAUGGGGACACUCCAACAAAAUGGCGUUGCUAAACAAAAAAAUAGACAUUUACUAGAAGUUGUUCAAGCAUCACUAAUCUAGGCCCGCAUGCCACUAUUUUAUUGGGGAGAAGCAUUGGCAUCCGUAGCAUACUUGAUCAAUCGGACACCUUCAAUCUUCCUUGGAUUCCAAACUUCUUUUCUAGUUCUAAAUGAAGAAUUAUGUCAUCAAAUGUGCCGAAUUUACCCCCACAUAUGUUUGGUUGUGUUGCCUUCGUUCAUUUGCCACGACAAGAUAAAUUAUCUCCUCGAGCACUACGUUGUGUGUUUGUAGGGUAUGCCUUACAUCAAAAGGGGUACCGAUGCUAUCAUCCUCUAUUAAGAAAAAAUAUACAUCACCAUGGACGUAAUCUUUCAUGAAGAUAUCAUGUAGUACCCAUCGGAGCCUGAAUUUCAGAGGGAGUAUAAUGAAGAGGAAAUUCAUACUCUUACAUAUCUUUCACCUGAAGAAGAUCAAUCCUCCAUUGAGGUAGUAAACCUUCAAGAUACUGGAAAAGAAAACGACGAUGAUUGUCAGGCUGAGACAAGUGAAGACACAUUUAGGGAGCAAAAUAACUCAGACAUAAUCACAAUCAAGAACGAGUCCAUGAAGAGCCACAUGAAGAAAUAUCUAACCAAUCGUCUGCAGAGGAUGAUCCUACCACAAAUCCCAGUCUAAUCAGAAGAAUACUUCCCCAGCAUCAAAAUAGAGGUAUCUCUAAACCCACAUAUAAGCCUGACCUCUCUAGUAGAGUCAAAUACCCUAUGAGUCAUUUUGUAUCUAACCAUGGCUUAUCAAAAUCAAAUCAGUCAUUUGUGAAUCAAUUAUCUACUGUGUCUAUUCCUAACAGUGUGCAAUAAGCCUUAAAAUAUCGAAAGUGGAAAGCGACUAUGAAUGACGAAAUGAGAUCUCUUUAAAAAAAAUCAAACAUGGGAACUAGUUGAUCUUCCACCAGGAAAGAAACCAGUGGGUUGCCGAUGGAACUAGCUGAUCAUCCACCUCCAUUCUGACAAGCAAUGUUUAUCAACAAGAACAAAUGACUGAAGCAUUUUAAUGAGGUUAGUAACGAAAAAGAGUUUAAUUAGAGAAUAUUAUAAGAGAAAUUCUAUUUUUUGAUUUUUAAUAAAUUAAAAUAUCUUAAAAUAUUAUUAGUUGGUGGUGGUUUCACGUCAGAUUAAGACGUGACACCUUACUAAUGAAGUCGAGACAAUUAGCUUAAAUUAUUUCAACGCAUUUGAAAUUUCCACUAAUGACUAUAAUUCUUUUUCCUAAUUACUACGAUAAUUAAUAACAUACAAUUGAAAUAAUUAAUAUUAGCACUUGGCAAUAAAUAAUUAAAUUUCAUUAACAUUAAAUAAUAAUUGAAUAUGGCUUUGUACAUCGAUGACGCCAACAACAAGGGGACCGCGAUUAUCACUCUUUAAGUUGCUUUUAAAAUUGAUUUUAAUAGUGAUAUGAUUAUUGUAGUGUUUUUAUUUUUUAUAUUAAAAUUAAGUGAUUUGUUAUAAUAAACUUAGUUGAGUUUAAUGGUAUUACUACAUAAAUUGAAUAGUUAUCAAAUAUUUUAAUAUUUUUAUGGCAACCGUUGACGUGGCAUUUAUUUGUUGUAUGAUGGAUUUUAAAAUUUAUAAAAUUAUUUGUUAUUAAAUUACCCCCAGAUGCUACAUCACCUGAAACUUACUAAAGUUAUGAAGACAUGUGUGUGUGGACUGAAAUGAAGAAUAUGGAAAAGUUUAGAGCUGUUGUGCAGAUUGACUUCAGUUGAUGGGGUCUAUUAGAUAUUGUCUGCUGACGUGGCAUGAAUUCGUUAUAAUCUGUUAUAACGAGUUCAGUAUAUCAGUAUACAAUAGAGCUGAUGGAUGGUGCCUGUUUUAGAGUCUUUUUUAUAUUCAUUUGUUCAUCAUUUUGCACAAGAUAUGUUCCAUUGUGAUAUGUGUAAAGUCUUAUGUAAAUCCACUUAUGAUUGGAUUAGUUCUUGAUUAAUAACAACGAGUAAAUUUUCCUUCAAGUGUGCUGGUCUGUGCCCCUGUUUUUUGUUCUAAUAUUGUUUCUUUGUUUUGGCAUUUCAUUUCGAUUGUGUUCUUGGUGUUUCUACUCAUCAAGAUUUAUGAGUCUUGUUGAUAUUAAAGACUUAAUAGUCUUAACAAGUGGUAUCAGAGCCUGGUGAAUCUCAGCCAUGUCUCUUUCGAAGCAUGAAAUUGAAAAAUUCACCAUUGGUGGUGAUUUCUCACUUUCGAAAUUAAAAAUGAGGGCUCUCCUUGUGCAUCAGGGGCUUGAAUUUUCUCUGGAAGAAGAUAAUCUAGAGGCUGCUACAAGUUCUGUGACUGAUGAUAAGAAGAGACAAAUCCAAAACCGAGCUCGUAGCACUCUAAUUUUGAGUCUUGGUGACUCAAUCUUGAGAAAGAUUUCUGAAGAGAAGACAACCUUAGGGAUUUGGAACAAGGUAGAAGCUUUGUGUACAAAGAAGUCCUUAGCUCACAGACUAUUCUUGAAGAAAAAGUUAUACACAUUCUCGAUGAGAGAAGGAGUCACAAUUCAAGAUCACAUUGAUACCUUCAACAAGAUCAUUCUUGAUCUUGAAGGGGUGGAAAAUGUGACAAUAAGUGAUGAAGAUAAAGCCUUCUUCUUGCUAAGUUCCUUACCAAAGUCUUACGAAGGCUUUGUAGAUACAAUGCUUUAUGGCAGAACAACAUUGACUCUUGAAGAUGUUAAAGCAUCUCUAAGUUCAAAAGAGAUUCAGAAGAACAAUGAGAUUGAAAGCUGAUUGCCAGAUCAGAAAAGAAGAAAUAUCAGAAGAAUAAAAAUCAGGGAAAAUGACAUGGAAAGAAUUAAGAAAUGCAGACAAGAAGAAAAAAAAAGAGAAAAUGCUUCUACUGCAGGAAGGAAGGGCAUUACAUCAGGGAUUGUCUUAAAAAGAAAAAGAAAGAAAGUCAAGAGAAGUUAGGGGAUGCAGUUGUAGCCUCUGAUGAUGCCUCUGAUGGAUAUCACAGUGCUGAUUUACUUGUGGCCUCAAAUAGCAAUACUAAAGGUCAGUGGGUCAUAGACUCUAAGUGCUCUUUUCACUUGUGUCCUGAUAAAACCAUAUUUUACAAAUAUGAAGUUGUUGAUGGUGGUAGAGUCUUAAUGGGAAACAAUAAUGUGUGUAAUCUUGUUGGUGUUGGUUCUGUGAAGAUCAAGAUAUUUGAUGGAACUGUAAGAGCUCUACAUGAGGUGAGGCAUGCUCCUAAAGAUGGCCAAUGGGUCGAGCGGCACAUGGCACGGCACGUGUCCGUACGGCACGGCACGGCAUGAGCACGUUUCGGUGAGGCACGAGGCAUGGCACGGCACGCACGUGGGCCGUGCCGAGCCUAGAAUUUUAGGCACGCGGGCCUUAAAGCACGGCACAAUUAGAGAUGGGCCAAAGCACGGCACGCGAAAAAGCAUGUAAUAAGCACGGUUCAUUAGUGAGCUAGCACGCGGUCCGUGAGCCAUUAAUAGCACAUGGGCCAAAAUAUAUUUAAGUAAUUUUUUUUAACAAAAUGUAAAUAUAAAAUGUUAUGAAAUUAAAGUACAAUAUCUUGAAAUUAAAUGUUUUAAUAUAUUUUUUAGCAUAGACUUUUAAAAAUUAAUUUAAAUCAUUAAAUCUUAGUUUAAAUAAAUAUUCUAAUCUUUUAUGUUUAUAAUUUAUUAAAUGAAUAAGUAAAUAUCAUGAUUUUAAUAAAUAAAAUUAUAAAUAUCAUAAUUUUAUUUAUGAUAUUUAUUAAAUGAAUAACGUUAUUUAUGAUAUUUAAUUUUAUUUAUGAUAUUUAUUUAAUUAUUUAUUUAUGUUUAUAAUUUAUUAAAUGAAUAAGUAAAUAAUUAAAUAUCAUGAUUUUAAUAAAUAAGGUUAUAAAUAUCAUAAAUUUAUAAAUUAUAAAUAAAAAAUAAAUUUAUAAAUAAAAAAUAAAAAAUAAAUUUUUUUACAAAAUUAAUAAUAAAAUAUUUUUCAUAUUAAUAUUAAAUCAUAACUUAGUUAAUAUUUAAUAGAGAUACGUUUCAUUUGUGAAUGAAAUAUUUUCCAUUUUAUACACAAGAAAAAUUAUGAUAAAUUAAAAUUUAUAUUUUUAUUAAAUGAAAUUAAAGUACAAUUAUAAUAUUAGUAAUUCAAAUAAAAUUAGGUGUAAUUUGCAUCACUACAGUAAACAGUACAUCCCAACUAGGUUGGCACUUAUUGAACCAUCUAUCAUUUGCAAAUUUACAACCUUCUCACUAAUAAAAAUUGUUUCAAAAAGUUACAAGAAAAAAAAAUCACUAGUCUUUGGAAGUGGCUUCAAUGUUCAGUACUCUGCAUAAUCUGGAUCCACUUCAUCUUGAUCAACAUUAACUCUCAAUUUGUUUAAUUAAAGCAUUUUGCCAAUCUUAUUGCACUCGGCGUUCAGCAUCUUCCUAAUCUUUCAAACACAAUAAAGAGUCUAAUGUCUCUGAUGACAAUCUUGACCGAUGUUCAUCUAGAAAUUAAUUAUUAUAAUGAUUAUUCGAGGAUUGUAUUUUUAAUUUUAAUUAAUUAUUAUUAUGAUCUAUGGAAUUAAAUUUAUGUAUUGUUGUGUUAUGAAUUAUGAUUGAUUAUUGUGAAAUAAAAUAUAUAGUUGUGAAAUUGUGAUAAACUAAUAAUAAAAUGUUAAUUGCUCUCUUAAUAAAAAUUAAUAUGAUUAUGAUUGUGAAUAUUAUUAUUAUUAUUAUUAUUAUUAUUAUGUUGGUGGGCUUAAAAAAGCACGUCAGGCACAUGGGCUUUUUUAGGCACGCUAAAAAAAAAAAAAGUUGGUGGGCUUUUUUUGGGCACGGCACGAGAGGGCUCGUGCCGUGGGCCGUGCCGGGCUCAACUGAAAAAAAUGUAGGCACGGCACGGCACGACCCACCAAUUUGGUGGGCCGUGCCGUGCCGGCCCACGAGCCCUUGUGGGCCGACACUGCCGGCACAGCCCAUUGGCCAUAGUUACAUGCUCCUAGGCUAAAGAGAAAUCUAAUCUCUUUAGGCAUGCUAGACAGCUUAGGGUAUUUCUUUAAAUCAGAAAGUGGUGGUUUAUAGAUAAGAAAGGGGACUGAGAUAGUGAUGAAGGGGGUUAAAGAGAAUGGCUUACAUGUAUUGUAAGGCUCAUCAGUGCUUGUUCAAGAGGGAAUUUCUGCUCUUUCUGAGGAAGAUAUAACCAAGUUAUGACAUCUUAGACUUGGUCAUAUGAGUGUCAAAGGGAUGCAAGAGCUCAGCAAACAAGGGCUACUUGGUGGGGAUAGAAUCCAGCAACUGGAAUUAUGUGAAAACUGCAUUUUUGGCAAAGCUCACAGGUCCAAGUUUCACAAGGGGGAGCAUAUGUCUAAGCAAGUUUUGGACUAUGCACAUGCUGACCUUUGGGGGCCUGCUCAAGUCCCAUCCUUGAGUGGUGGCAGGUAUUUCAUAUCACUAAUUGAUGAUUACUCAAGGAAGAUGUGGGUCUACAUACUCAAGACCAAAGAUCAAGCCUAGGAAAAAAUUCAAGGUAUAGAAAUCUUUGGUAGAAAAUCAAUUUGGAUUCAAGCUCAAAUGCUUGAGAACUGAUAAUGGUUUGGAAUUUUAUAGCAAAGAAUUUGAGGAAUAUUACAAAAAAACAUGGCAUAAAAAGGCACAAAACAGUCAGGUUCACCCCCCAGCAGAAUGGCUUGGCUGAGAGGAUGAACAUGACCUUGGUAGAUAAGACCAGAUGUAUGUUGAUAAAUUCAAAGCUUCCAAGAAGCUUUUGGGUAGAAGCUGUCAAUACAACAAGUUAUUUGGUUAACAGAAGCCCAUAUUCUGCAAUUGGCUUCAAGACACCAGAAGAAUUGUGGAAGGGAAAACCUGCAAAUUACCAAAAUCUCAGUGUUUUUGGAUGCCCUGCUUAUCUCCACAUCAAUCAAGGCAAGCUGGAAGCUAGGGCCUUGAAAGGAGUCUUUGUUGGAUAUCCUGAUGGGGUUAAGGGAUACAUAAUCUGGUGUAGAGAGUAAGGGAAGUGUAUAGUCAGCAGGGAUGUUGUGUUUCAUGAAUUUGGAUUGCUAAAAGAAAAUGCAGAGAAUGAUACUGGACUACAAAAUGAUUCAACAAUUAUCAAACAAUCUGGAACUUCCAAGGUUAAGGUGGAGCUGUUUGGAGAUAAAGACAAUAGAAAAGAGGUAGCUGAUUAUGAAGAGAGGAACACAGCUAAAGUUGAGGAACAUGAGUCAUUAGAGUUACCACAAGCUGACUUGCAGACUUAUCAAUUAGCAAGAGAUGGAGUUAGAAGGGAAGUCAGAGCACUAGUGAGGUAUGGCUAUGUUGACUUAAUUGUUUAUGCAUUGUUGUGUGCUGAUGAUGUGGCAAUUGAAGAGCCUGCUAACUUCUCUGAAGCUAUUGAAAGUGUGCAUUGUGAUAAGUGGCUUGAGGCAAUGCAAGAUGAAAUGGAAUCCCUUCAAAGAAAUCAGACCUGGACACUUGUUCCAAAUCUAGGUAAUAAAAAGUUGAUCAGUUGUAAGUGGAUCUUCAAAAAGAAUAAAGGAAUUCCAGAUGUUGAACCUCCCAAAUAUAAAGCAAGGCUAGUGGCUAGGGGGUUUACAAAGAGAAAGGGUGUAGAUUUCAAUGAAAAAUUUUCCCUUGUUCUUAAGCACAGUUCAAUAAGAAUUUUAUUAGCCAUGGUAGCCUUACUUGACUUUGAGCUUGAGCAAAUGGAUGUAAAAACAGCCUUCCUUCAUGGUAAUCUUAAAGAACAUAUAUUGAUGGCACAACCUAAAGGUUUUGAGUGCAAAGGAAAGGAGGAUUAUGUUUGUUUGCUGCAUAAGUCCUUGUAUGGACUCAAGCAAUCCCCACGACAGUGGUACAUAAGAUUUGAUGAUUUUAUGAUCUCAAAAGGCUAUCACAGAAGCAAAUAUGACAGUUGUGUUUACUUUGGUGGAUCAUAUCAAGGUGGAGUUGCUUAUUUGCUUUUGUAUGUUGACGAUAUGUUAAUUGCAAGCAAAUAUAAGUUGGAGAUAAAGAGGUUGAAGAAUCUGUUGAAGGCUGAGUUUGAAAUGAAGGAUCUCGGCAAUGCCAAAAGAAUCCUUGGGAUGAACAUUACAAGGGGCAGAUCUGCUGACACUUUGUUCUUGAGUUAAGAGAAAUAUAUCAGGAAGGUUCUAAAGAGGUUUGAUAUGCAAGACUAUAAACCUGUCCAAACACCACUUGGUCCCCAAUUCAAGUUGACAGCAACUCAAUCAUCAGAAGAUGAGUCUCAGGUGAGUGAAUUCCCAUAUGCACAGGUUGUAGGGAGCCUGAUGUAUGCAAUGGUAUGCACCAGGUUAGAUAUAGCUUACGCAGUAAGUGUUGUCAGCAAAUUUCUCAGUUGUCCGGGCAAGGUUCACUGGAAUGUUGUAAAAUGGAUAAUGAGAUAUCUCAAGGGCUCUUUUACUUGUGGUUUGCUGUAUGGGAAGACUAAGAGUGACAUAAGUGAAGUCAUGGGGUUUGUAGACUCUGACUUUGCUGGAGAUCUUGAUAGAAUGAAGUCAACCUCAGGGUAUAUGUUUGUGUUAAACAGUUGCCUGAUUAGCUGGAAGUCAUCACUUCAGUCUGUGGUUGCUUUAUCCUCAAUUGAAGCUGAGUUUAUUGCAACUACAGAGGCAGUAAAAGAGGCCAUGUGGCUAAGAGGUUUGCUUAAUGAGUUAUGGUUAAAUCAGAAAAUUGUUCAGGUUUUCUGUGAUAACCAAAGUGUCAUACACCUGGUAAAGAAUCAGAUGUAUCAUGAAAGAACCAAGCACAUUGAUGUGAAGCUCCAGUUUAUCAGAGAUGAGGUUGGAAAGGAAACUGUAAUUGUGUCCAAGAUCUAUACUAGUGUGAAUCCAACUGAUGUUAUUACAAAAGCACUUCCCACUGCAAAAUUUGAAUUCUAUGUGAAUCUAAUGGGCAUCUCGCCCAAACCUAACUAAAUUCAAUAGUGAAUUGUAGUUGAAUGAAGGUUUUUUAGGUGCUGUGUUAUUGAAAGGAUCAACUGAAUCAACUGCAAGGUGGAGAAUGUGAAGACAUGUGUGUGGACUGAAAUGAAGAAUAUGAAAAAGUUGAGAGCUGUCGUGCAGAUUGACUUCAAUUGAUGGGGUUUAUUAGAUAUUGUCUGCUGACGUGGCAUGAAUUCGUUAUAAUCUGUUAUAACGAGUUCAAUAUAUCAGUAUAUAAUAGAGCUGAUGGAUGGUGCCUGUUUUAGAGUCUUUUUCGUAUUCAUUUGUUCAUCAUUUUGCACAAGAUCUAUUCCAUUGUGAUCUGUGUAAAGUCUUCUGUAAAUCCACUCAUGAUUAGAUUAGUUCUUGAUCAAUAACAACGAGUAAAUUUUCCUUCAAGUGUGCUGGUCUGUGCCCCUGUUUUUGGUUCUAAUAUUGUUUCUUUGUUUUGGCAUUUCAUUUCGAUUGUGUUCUUGGUGUUUCUACUCAUCAAGAUUUGUGAGUCUUGUUGAGAUUAAAGGCUUAAUAGUCUUAACAAAAGGGAAUGUAGCAUUGCCAUUAAUCAACAUUCACUCUUAUGACUUUAUGACAUUAGAAUUACAAUCUUUCGUACAUUUAAUUUAUUUGCUUCCAAAUUAAUCUUUAAUAAAUACUUUUUCACAUUAUCAUCAAUGGACAAAACUCCAACGAAAAUAACUACACAAGAACAAUUUAUGCUAGUAUUAUAUGCCACAAUAUCUAUAACUUUGUCUGGAUCGAUCAUUCUAAUUUUUUCGCAGAACUUUUUGUCAAUGGACAAACACCUCACAGAGCUUGUCAGCCGCAUUAUUACGAUGUAAAAUUGUACCGGAAUAUCUUGAAUUAUUAGUAGAAUACUGAAGACUAUUUGGGGCAAUAAAAACAAAUAACGCAGAUAAAAAAAUGGCUAAAAUUAUGUAAGUGAGCCCCAAAGUUUUUGCUAUUUCCAGGAAAUCCCAAAUUUGAAUGGACUAGAGGGAGGCACGUAAGAAAUGCAUUUUCUUCCUAGACAAUGACAGCUAUGACAUCAAGCCACGGUGGCGUCAGUAUUGAAAUUAAGGUGUAAUUAUUCAGCCAAUGAGCCUUACACAUCAAGAUAAAAGUCAAGAAAAUGAAAAUUUGGCUGUUUCCAUUUGAAGUUAAAAGCAACGUUUCUUUCGUUUUGUGGGCGACUCGACUGAGCACGCCCCAAUAGCUAUAUUUGGGGCGUCAAUUUGAUUUUUUUUUUUUUUUUAUUAAGAAGGGCUCAAUAUAACGAGCUAAACCGGAACAAGACGGGGUUUAGCAACCCCAAAUAUAUCUUACAGAAUAGUUGAAUAAAUACCCACAGGCGGGUUAGUAAAUAAAUGUAAACCAUGAGGGGUGGAGUGAGCCAUAUUAGCCAUGAAAUCCGCAGCCGAGUUUGCUUCGCGAAAGAUGUGAGUGAGAGAAACUUGCCAGUUCCUGCUUAGAAGGUCCUGCACAGCAACAACUAGAGCAUAGAAAACAUUAGGCACGACCUCCUGCUUAGAAAGCAUCUGUCAAUUUGAUAUUUGAAUGGACAGGCUAGUAAGAAAUACAUUUCCUUCAUAGAAAAUGACAACGAGGACAUCAAGCCACAUCAUUAUAGUUUGUAGCCCAUCUACAUUUAAACGAUUAAUAAACAAGCUUAGGUAUGCCACUGCUAUUAUUAAUUAUCCCCUGAUCAUUAUAGUUUCUGAAACAGUAAAACAAAACGAAAUUGAAUACAUCAAAGAAACCGUAAUUAUCACUUCUUUAGUUGCGGUAUUUAACUUAAUUUUAAUAUAAUAUAUUUGUUAGUUAAACUUUUAAUAAUCAAAUAAUUUUGAUUUAAAAAUAAAAUUAUAGAAAUUAUUAAUUAUUAAAAAUUCACAAUUAAGGGAACGUUCAUCAAACACACAUAGCUAUUGUUUUCUCUAUAUAUUGCAGUGUGUACGAUAUUGAGGGUUGAAGCCCCAAGCAUGCUCUAAAAUCCAGAUAAUAAUUAGAUCCAUGCAAAAUAUUCAUCGUUGUAUCAGCUGAUCAGUUGGUGGUGAUGAAGGGUGUUAUUGGCGGAGCUCAAAGUUAUUAUGUGCAUGUUGGGUGGAUAUCUCUAUUGAAAAUAUCUCUGAUAUUUCACUCGACAAACUUGUUAAUAUAAAAAAAUCUAUGGUUUUGCCGUCUGCAUACUGUAGAAAAUUUUGUCUCUACGUUAAUCUAAAUGUUUGAGGUGAUUAGAAAUUGCCUACUAUAUAUAAAGGGAAAUAAUUUCUAGGUUGAUUGAUACAUCUCUAUUCAAAAUAUCUCUGACAUUUCACUCGACAAACUUAUUAAUAUAAAAAAUCUGUGGUUUUGCCGACUGAAUAAUGUAGAAAAAUUUGUCUAUGCAUUAAUCUAGAUGUUUGAGGUGAUUUAUACAUCUGUGGUAAAGAUUUAUAGGUUGACUUAUACGUCUGUGGUAUAGAUUUUAUGUAUUUCAUUACAAAAUGCUGGCCGUUAGAACCCUUUCUACAUCUAUUUAUAAGAUUAACGGGUGCCAGCUAUGCCAUUACAAAUUAUCCCCUCAUCAGAUAUUUCGUUAAAAUUCAUUCUGAAACACUAAAACUAAAUAAUCGAACAUGGCUUUGCGGGUCGAUGAUGCCAGCAGCAAUGAGACUGCAAUUAUCACUUGUUUAGUUUCUGUGCUUGCCGUGGUUUACUUCGCAUGGAAUGUGAAAAAAUCAAGGAAAGCAAAUGCUACACUGCCACCAGGACCUCGCGGCUUGCCUGUAUUCGGAUACCUCCCAUUUCUUGGAACUACUGACUUGCACAAGAAAUUCACGGAAUUAUCCGGAGUUUAUGGUCCGAUCUUCAAGCUUUGGCUUGGAAAUAAAUUAUGUGUAGUGGUGAGCUCACCUUCCCUAAUUAGACAAGUGGUUC
rnacentral:lncRNA from 1 species